CCCCUUUCUAGUUAAUAAUUGUUGUAUGGCAGUCCUGACCCUGGCUUCUUCCAUAGCCUCAGCUGUAAUCAGCAUUCACGGCAAGGUAGCAGAUAAGCACCAAUCCAUGCAACUGCUGUGUCCUUUCACCAUCUCUCAGCAAUUUCAUCAAAGGCUUUACAGCGUUGAACUCGAUCAUUGUCCUUGAAUGCGCUUUGCAAAGAUAAUUGCCUGGAUAGGCAAAUUUUUGUUAAGCAACGAUAGCUUCCGUUGCCACUUCUUGGUGCAGAUUGCCAAGCUGCGACACCAAAACACUAAUCACGUGAUGACUUUCUCGUUUUUUGAAAAUUCUCGCUAAGGAACCGAUCGAUUUGAUGGCAGGAACUUGCAGUUUAGGGUGAUCCUCUAAUUCUUUAAUCACCCUUAAGAGCUGUUCAACGAUAGCUUCUGCACGAGGAGAAUUGGUCUUAAAUGUUUUGCAUCUAAGAUCGAGAUCCGAUUCGGCUACGGCAGUGAUUUCCAUUAUAGUCAUCAAGCAAUUGUACUGGAAUUCACCAUCCUCCGCUUCCACCAACUUAGCCAAGCAAAACAUUAAUGCUUCUGUCUCGUCUAUCAUCCUACUACUAUUUAGAACGCUCCCAACGUUAAGCAUCGAUAAAGCUUCCGCACAACAUAUUUUCAGCUCAAGUGGAGAAGUUUCACUCAGCAUUGGGGCUAGCUGCCAAAUCAAUUUUUCUGUAACCAUGCAAGACCAGGCCGAAAGAGUAGAUGAAUCGUUGCCGAGGAAUUGAGGCAACGAGAGAAAGAUUUCAUCAAAGGCGCUGCCGAAAUCGGGGUUGUACAAGAUAAGAAGACACUUCAUGGAUUCGAUGGAAACGUCUAAAAGGUGGUAGAGCUUGUGGAUAGUGGUGGCUAAUUUUGAUUUUGUGCCGGUAAAGAGUCGGCAAACUGAUGGUUUUGCGUCUACACUUGCAGGCCAGGGUUAAGCCUCCUGAAAGAUCUUUUUGUAUGUUCAUUGUCUUGUAAGUUUUAUUUAAUUUUUUAGAUAAUUAAGAAUUAAAUAAUAUAUAAAAGUUUUUUUUUUAACUAUUAGUGUUUUUUUCUGUUUGGCCUCCUUUUUAAACAUAUUCUAGCUCCACCGUUGUCUAUAUCCAUUGUUCCAAAUCAAUCAAGCAGGUUCAAAUUUCUAGCACUUAUUUCGAUUUUUUUUUAUAAGUCAUUUUAGAUUUCAUUAAAUAAAGGGUUGCUCUCUUUGAAACAAAAUAAACGGUUGCUCAAUUCCGUAAACUUCCAAAACGAACUGACAACCGUUUUGAAUUGAUAGUAAAAUAUGGAAUAUUUUUUUAUUCACGAUGCCGUGUGAGGAUGAUGAUUCUCACUUGGCUAACUGCUUCCAUGCCAAAAUUAAAGACAUCUGCACCUUUUCUAUUUUUAUCUAGAACCAUCAAGACCAUAACAUAACUAAAAUUUUAUAAAAGGAGUUAUAUAUUACCUUUUUGCUUAAGAAACUAUGAAUUAAUCAUAAUAGUCAACUACUGCAAUUUGAUUGGUUAUGAGUUUUCCUAAUUUUCUAGACUAGAUUAAGACUAACUGACUAACUAGUAAUGUUUCAACCCUUCACUUUGCUCUUGUUUUUUUUUUUUUUUGUGUGCGGUCAGAUAUGUUGGUGUUGUCAUCGAAAAAUUUUAUUGCCAAAUCCUAUAGUUGCGUGUCAUUUUUGGUAUCUUGUAAAUGGAAUGAGACUAUUCCUCCGGUUAAUUCAUUUUUUCUUUCAUCGUCCAAACACCUGGUUCAAAUUAAGUAACCAGGCAAAAAAGGUUGGCAUUAUUCUGGAAUGAAGCCCAAGACUCAUGGUAAUCUCUUUCCAAUUACCCAUUGAUCAUAAGCAAACUUAUAGCUCGGGCUAGGCGUAGGAUUCAUAGUAAUGAUGCCGUUCAAUUUAAUUUUCUCCAAGACAAAUUUCUUAUUCAAAGGGUCAAACGUAGCAGAAAGACAGACAUCCGGAAAGGCCCUGACCAAUGCGUGUGGUUGAUAGUUUUUGUUCAAUUCCACAGUCAAGGUGGGUUUUGAUUGGGCACCGGCCACACGGGCAACGUAUUCCAGUCGCUUUCUGAGUCCACUAUUUGAUUUUCUGACCUCAAUUGAACCUUUCUCUAGCAAAGUUACCUUUUUGUUAUUGAGAUUGUGUUCACACCCAGUACGUUGCCUCUAGUCGACUUGACUCUUUGUUGCAUAAAUUUGUCAGCUAAGUACUGUUACCUUGGUGCCACCAGCGUUGUUUGAUAUGGACAGUAGAAACUCCACCAUUUGCUUAUAAUUUCUCUUUUUUUUAAAUAACAUUGGCUUAUAAUUAAUUUUGAUUCAUGUAUUUUCAUUAAUUUAAUCUGUAUACUUAAAAUUUAAUCAAUUUAAUUUAUCGAUUUUGAAAAUUAAAAUAUUUUAAUUUUUUAAUAUCAUUAAUAUUUAUGAUUAAAAGUGAUUACAUUAAUAUUGACUUGAUAAAUUUUAACAUGCUGAUAUAAUAAUAUUAUGUGACAUUGACAUAAUAACGUGAUAAUAUAUUAAAAUAUAAAUUUCUUCCCUGUUUAGCAUGGACAAAUUAGAUUCGUGGCAAUUGAUACCCUUGGAAUCUAAUUUUUCCACAGGGUAAAAACAUAGUAGAAAUGCAGACAUGACCCUUCCCGAAAGGCUUUUACCAUUGUUCUAGAAAGGCAUUUCGAUCUAGUCAUCAAAAAUUCAUUUUCGAUCAGUUUCUUUCUAGAAGGAGACAAAGACACUUCCAUCAUUGGACUGCAUCAAAUAAUCCGUUCAAAGUACCUUACCAGUUUUGUUCAUUUUCAACAUGUUUGAUGAUUGGGCACUAACCGCAAGUGCAACCAAUCCCGGUUGCUUUCAAAUCCAUUUCACCAAUUCCACUCCUCAACUGUAAUAUUUGUUUUAUUCGGUUAUUUGCACAAUUUAAUUUUAGUUUUAUGGUUAUUAUAUCUAUUAAAUUACCAACUUAAUGAUUUAUCUAAUUGUGAUCUAAUUACUUGUUAUGAAUUGCUGAGAAAAAAUUACUUGUUAUGAGUUAAGAAGCAACUUGACGUCUUUAAAAAAUUAAAAUGUAUAAAAGUUGAUGUUAAUGGGAAACUUAGUUUGUUAUAGCUUAGCAAAAAACAAAAAGAAAAAAAAGAGAAGGAAGAACCCUUCGUGCAUCAUAACUAAUUGAUAAAAAAAAGAAGAAUUUAAAAAAAAUUACUGUAAAGAUGAACAUUCAACAAAGUCAUGACAAGGUACUCAAUCAGCCCCAAAUCACCAACCAAGAAAUAAGAGAAAAUUUAGGAACAUGGCAUUGUAAUCAGAUCAGCUCAUGCCAAGUAAAUUUUGGGUUUCUUUUUUUUCCGAGUCAACAGUAGAAUUUUAUUGAGUACCAGAAAUUUGAUAAGACUUAUCAACAAAGAAUCAGUGAAAGAGAAGGCAUCCCCCGGUACAUAGCUGCCUGGAAAUAGUGAAAUACGUAACAGCCAACAUCGGGCAGAGAGUGUAUAAAACAUCAUAAAAAUGCCACCUGGGAAGAAUACAGCAGUGCAAUAAUCAUACAGCAACUUUCAUCGCUGGGGUGAAGGCUUCUGCUAGAGAGAUAGCUUAUCAUGCAGUCAAGCAAGCUCCUUCAGAGUUCGGGUAAAAUAGCAAAGUACACCAAAUACCGGAGAAGAUCAGAAGCCAGAAUACAGAGUGGGCAAGCCCCAUAGCAUAGUGCCAGAAAUAAGAUGCCAGCAACAGCACAAUGUUACAAUGUAGAUCACACGGAUAAUAACACCAGCAUCAAUAUGUUCUCAAAAUGCACAUAAAACUGACAGGGGCAGACGACAUAAGAUGGCAGCGGUAGCAACACAGGUUGUCAUGUAGAUAGAACAGAGCAAGUGGCAGUUUAUAAACACACUGUUGGUUGGGAAAACUCUGUUAAAACACAAGCCAUAUCAAACCGAAUUCCAACAGUUUUGGAUAAAACAGGAGCAUGAGUCAAUUUUUGGUUUCUUGCUUGUUUCAAUUGUCAAUUGUUUGAGUUAUGAUUUUGUUUUCCACUACCUCUUUCUUUUGUUCUGUAGAAAAUUUUGAAACCCAGAAAGUAAAUAAUGAAAAAUUAAGUAACAAAAAGGUAUUAAUCAAACAAAAAUUACAGAAUCUUUAAUCUAAAAUUACAAAGGUACUAGUAAAUAAAAACAUCUGAAGCAUACAAUAUUUAUACAAAUCCAUGAAUUUUAGAUCCGCCUUGUGCUUAUGAAAGAAUCACUAUUACCACAAUGAGAAUUAGGAAAUUACUCAAAGUAAAAAAGGAAAAUAAAAAUGGAACUGAACAUCAACAAGCGAAACUAUUGAAAUUCGAUCAUUCAACAAAACUAUACUAGUAAUUAAUCUGCUACAUAAUUUUUAUUUGGCAAGAUGAAUGAGAUUGUUAGAAGAUGAGCACAAGAAGCACCAAUUGGUGCUUCUUCUGCUCUUCCUCUGAUACAGAAUACGUGGGUGCUUCAAGCUUUGGAGCAAGGAACUAGGUAUUUGGCUACCUAGGUAUUUCCCCAUGAAAACAACAAGAUCUGGCUGCAACCAAGAAAUAAUAGCAAAUGCUAAUUAGUUUACCAACAAAAAAGAACUUGUAUGGAGAACUCACUGAUGUAGGCUGAAAUAACAAGAUAGUUAGCUCCAUAUCCUGUUGAAAGGGUUGAGUUUUACCGGCCGACGAACUGACAAUAAAGUUGGAUCUGAUUAAUCCACCGGCCCCCUUUAAGGAUCAAGGGAUGAGCUUUAAAAGCAGGUCAACGGGUGGGCAACGACUUGGGCUUGAGAAAGACAAAAAAAAACAAGUCCUUUAUGGGACUUUUCAAUGCCCCUAAGGGUUAAUCAAAUCAUAAAAUAUGAAAUCAAACAGCUACUUUAAUCCAUCAUCUCCACCGGCAAAGAAAGAAACCAAUCAUCUUCAAAAAAAAAAAGAAAAACAAAAACAAAAACUCUUAGAAAAAACCAAAACUGUAGAUCCUUAACUCACAAGUUUACAAUUAUUACUAUAUAAUACGAUAAACAUGGAAAACAUAAUAAAACAAAAAAACAGAACCCAAAAGAUUAAAAAGCAUGUAAAGUAUGUUAAAAUUACUCCUUCAUUAUUCUCCACAACCCAAUUCUCCAGAAACUAUAGUUAAAUAGUAGCGGGAGAUAAAACAAGACGAGACAAUACGAAAUUGGACUGAUCAACAGAAGGCCUUAUUCAGCAGAAUUCACUUUGGACUAUGACCCUCCACCUUGACAGGCUUGGAGAAGCUCCCGUACUGCUGUUCUAUCUCUCUUUGAACUCGUAACUUCCUACCAUGGUUUUGAGUGAGCAAACACUGCCGUCUAUCGUAGCGGCAACGGGCUGUGCCAAAGUCAGAUCUAAAUUCGCUACUCCGUCAUAUGGACUGGGUUGUCCUAGAACCAAGUCCAAGCUAACCCUUCCAGUACUUGUGGAAUAUGCUUCUCCAACAGCUUGACUAGUGCAAUAGGCGGCCAGUGAACCACCCCCAUUGAGAUCAAAGGGCGCCUUGAUGUCUCUCUCUUCUUUGGUCAUAUAGCAUGCAUGGAGCGGUGGUUCACGCACCAUGGUAAUGCAAAUACCCAACUUCGUUUCUGUCUCAUGUUCAAGCUUGAAGUAAGGGUUACUAGUCGCUUCAUCAAUCACACUAGUGGCAAAUAUCCCUCCAGGUGGUUUGGCAAUAACAUGAUCAACGAAAGGGACCGGUGCAUCAGCUGCAGCAUCGGCUAGUUCCAUGAAAGCUCCCUCCUGUUUGACUGGUGCAUCAGCCUUACGACGUUGCUGUUGCUUGUGCCUAAAGUUGCCGAUUUUUGUGCGGCUUGUGCCAGUGGUUUUAUCUAUCUCAUGAUUUGAAGAAAGAGCCCCAGCAGAAAGAGCCGCGGAUGGUGUGGCUGGCUUCUCCACUUCAACCCUAUAGUGGAAAGCGCCUGCUUCAUCUUUCACUUUGUACACGGUGAGUUCCUCGCCAACAUGGAAAUCAUUGCAAAUAACAAAAUUUCUCCAACCACGAGAGAAAACAGGUUUCUUGUACCCAUUCUUGCGGACAGAGCAGACAAUUGGCCACAUCUUUGUGCCAUACAUAAGGGGAAUUGUCACGGCAUGGCUUCUAUUGAAAUCUGGUAAGGAAGGCAGGAGUUUUACCGGGAUCGCCAACCUUUUUUUUAUGUCAGUGUCAGUCAGUGACUUUGAGAACAUCUUUUUUGCUUGAGGCAUGGUGGCUGGUGGGAAAAGGCUGUCUGAAACUUUUAGUACUUCUAGGUUAGGAAGAGAUAGUGGUAGGAAUCCUGCUACAUAUAGAAACACAAACGAGCUACGUCCAGCAUUGUAAAUCCCAAAAGAGAUCGAGGGUAAAUGGUAAAACGUUUUCCAUUGGGGGAAUCAGCAUUUGGUGCCUGGAAAUUGGAAACCUAGUGACAUAGUUUUCUACGUUAACAAAAUAAUUAUCUUAUCCGAGAUAAGCGUCCAUUAGACAGCUUUUGCUCCAAGUGUGAAAGUUUGAGGGCUAAAACGGUAAAAUCGGUUAUAUACUUAUGUUCGCUGCUGUCAGAAAUCAACAGCCACUCAUCGACACGUCGAUAACUCAUGUUCCACUCAGCAACAACGUCCAUUGGUUUUCUGUUGGUCCAAGUGUGAAAGUGCACCCCCACCAAAAAAUUGCCCCUCUUCUUAAUAAAUAAUGCGUAGAAUCAAUUCAAUACAAAGCGUUAUGCGUAUUUCACAUGCUUAUUCCACGUAGACGCCCGCCAGCUCGUCGUCGAUGCUGUUUGUCGUUGUCAAUGCAGCCCGUGAAGCUGAAACCGCCCACUAAACUGAAACAGCCCAUUAGAAUCAAACAUUGAAAGUAUAUAAGCCUCGCAGUCAAUGAUCACGACUUCUAGUUGUUUAAUAUUGGAGCUUUGGAUGUGCCACCGGAUUCUAAUUUGCUUCACAUCUAUACAACAUUUCAUGCCCAAAAGUUCAAAGCAUGACGGCCUAUCAAGCACAACGGCCUAUCAAGCAUUUGAAAAGUUCAAAUGAUUAUGGAAGAAAGCAACAAGCGAGGUGGUGAAAACUAGCUCAAUACUGCCAGUGGCAUAUAUAACCAAAGUCUUUUAUAUUCGAUUGUUCAAACAUUGGAAACUUGCAAUCUUUUGUGGGGCCUUUGAUUAGUAGGAUGGUGGGCGCCAAGGAUGUUAAAGUGAGUUAUCUAGCUUAUUAAACAUUGAAGAUGUUAUUCAAGUCCAGAUUGAUAAAACAGAGUUUCUGAGUAUUGAAGAUUUGGUUGAAUUAGAACUCUUGUGUUUAGAAGAGUGGAUGAAGGAUAGUACACGUGUAACAUUUAUGUAAGAUGGUGUAAUUUUAAGAAUUAUAGUUUACUAAUAAGUUUUAUCGUGCUAUAAAUAACUUUUCAAGUUAGUUGUUAGUUGUAUAGUUAGUUGAGAAAUCAACUUUUUUAUUGGCUGAGAGAUUUUGUAUGUAAACCUUUUAAUGAUUGAUUUCAUUAAUAAAAAAUUCAGUUUACAAUUCACUGACUUGCUUCAUCGUCUUCUCAAGCUUUUCUUCUCUAGUUUUGUUUGGUUUUAUCAUGGUAUCAGAGAAAAUUAGGUUAGGGAUUCUGAUUUUCUCAUUACACAUUUUUAAUCAGUAAGUGAUUUGUUUUCCAUUUUUUUGGAAUAUCUGUUGAAUUUCAGUUUUGAGCUUGAAAUUUCUAAUUUCGAUGGAAGAAUCUACAGUUUCUAAGACUAUAAUUUCACCGACUCUAGAUCCACAAUCACCUUAUUUUUUGCAUCAAUCAGAUCAUUCUAGUUCAAUGGUUAUUACUCUUAAGCUUAGUACCAACAAUUAUGUUCCAUGGAGUUGAUCUUUUGUUUUAGCCAUUUCGAUUAGAAAUAAGCUAUGUUUUCUCCAUGAAACCAUUAGAAAGCCCACUGUAACAGAUCCUUUGUUUGAUUCAUGGACUAGAUGUAACAAUUUUAUUGUAGCCCAGAUCCUAGAAUCAGUCACUCUACCAAUAACGUCAACCAUAUUUUAUAUGGAUCCUGCUACUAAAAUUUGGAGUAUUCUGAAAAAAAACUUCUAACAACCUGAUGACACAAGGGUCUGCAACCCAUAAUUCACUCUAGGGAAUGCCACUCAAGGAACAAUAUAUGCAGAUAUUAUUUCAUAGAAUUGAAAAGUAUUUGGGCAGAGAUGAAGAACUGUAGACCGCUGCCACAAUGUGAGUGUGGGAAAUGCAAUCCUAAUUGCUUCAAGAAAUACUCAAAUCAGUAUAAAAAAGAUAUGGUUUUUAGAUUCUUAAAUGGCCUUAAUGAUUCCUAUUCUGCUAGAAGGUCACAGAUCAUUAUGCUAAGUCCUAUACUAGCAAGUUUGGUUAGGGGAAUAGCUUAUUCUCAAGGAAUUUUGGUUCCUUUGUUUGGUUGAGAAAUAGUCCAUGGAAUAGCCAUUCCAUAGGAAUGACUAUUCUCCAAAAUCAUCCAAAACUAAGGAAUAGCUAAUACCACCCUCUCCCAUGGUAUUAGCUAUUCCAUGAUUGAGGAAUAAACUCAAAAAAUGAUAAAGACAAAAACACCUUUUAUAAGUUUGAAAAAUUACAAUUUUAUUUGUAUAAAAUAUUAUUUUUCUCUCUCUCCUCCUUCUCUCCAUUGAUUCCAACUUUUAAUAAAAUAUUAGUAUUUUAAAAUAUUAAUAUUAAAUUUUAAAUAAAAUAUUAAUAUUUAAAUUAUCAAUUAUUAAUAUUUAAAAAUAAAUUAAAAUAAAAAUAUAUUAAUAAUUUAAUUAUAAAUUAUUAAUGUUUAAAAAUAAAUAAUCAUAAUAUCAUUUUAAUUAUAUAAACAAUAUUAAUAAUUAAAUCAUCAAUUAUUAACAUUUUAAUACAAUACCAAUUAUUAAUAUUAAAAAAAUAAAAUAAAAUAAAAUAAAAAAUUAAUCAUAAUAAUAUAUAAAUUAAAUAAAAUAUUAAUAUUUAAAUUAUCNNNNNNNNNNNNNNNNNNNNNNNNNNNNNNNNNNNNNNNNNNNNNNNNNNNNNNNNNNNNNNNNNNNNNNNNNNNNNNNNNNNNNNNNNNNNNNNNNNNNNNNNNNNNNAAAAUUAAAUUAAUAUUAUAUAUUAAAUUAUUAAUUAUUAAUAUUUUAAAUUAAAUUCUAGAUUAUUAAUAUUUUAAAAAAUCUAAUAAAAAUAAAUAGUCAUAUAAAUAAUAAAAGGUGUUUUUGUCUUUUUAUUUUCUAUUCCUUUCUUAUUCCAAAAUUAUUGUUACCAAUUAAACAUUACAAUAAGUUAUAAUAAUUAUUCUUGUCUUAUUCCUUUUGUCAUACUAAAUUAAGUAAUAACUAUUUUAUUUUAUUUUCAAUUAUUUUAUUCUAUUCUAUUCUAUUCCUGUCUAUUCCGCCAACCAAACAUAAUCUACCUACUUUGGACAAGGUUUACAGCUUGGUUUUAGGGGAGCAAACACAAAGAACUCUUUUGAUACAAGGUCAACUAGUUUUGGAAUUUGCUGCUAUGACAAUAGUGUUUGAUGAAAAGAAAAAAUUAAAAAAGGAAGUGAUUUGUUCACAUUGUAAUAAGAAGGGUUAUUCAAAAGAAAAGUGUUAUAGACUGAUAGGUUUUCCAGAGGAUUUCAAGUUCAAUAAAGGUAAAAAUGUUUAUAAGAUAGGCAAGUUAGUGAAUAGUGUUACAAUAAUGGAUAAAAAACAAUUUGCAUAAAAAGAUGAGGUUGUUGGAAAUAGCACAAUGUUUCAGAUGUCUCUCAUUAGGCAACAAGUAAGCAAGCUGAUGAGUCUUUUAAAUGAGAAUGGUAUUAGUAAUGAUGAAGGUAAGGAUGGUUCUACUUCUGCAUCCGCCUUUACAUCUAAUCAGCAAAACAAACAUUCUCUAGUCAACUCUGCUUUUUCAGGUAUUAUCUUUGGUCAUGUCUGCUUUAACAUUAAUAGUAAUCUUCCAUCCAAAUACAAAAAUGUGACAGAAUUCAUGAUUAAACACAAUUCUUGGAUUGUAGACACAAAAGCAACAAAUCAUAUUUCUUAUACCUUGGAUAAUUUUGUUUUUACAACAUCAGUAUCUAAUUGCUUUGUUGAACUUUCAAACAAAGCUAAAGCUUUUGUCUCUUAUGUAGGAACUAUUCAACUUACACCAUUUCUUACUUUACAGAUGUUUUGUGUGUUCCUAAUUUGAGGUUUGAUCUCAUCUCAAUAAGUUAGCUUACUGGUUCACAAAAGAAUUGUGUUUGGUUUACUGAUGAUUUGUGUGUUGUUCAUGAUCUAGUUUCAUGGAAGGUGAUUGGGGUAGCUAAGGUCAUUUCAGGGUUGUAUUUCAUGCAGAUGAACAAGCUCUGUCAAAACAUAGUAUUGACAAGAACAUUUCAUUAAUCAAUGUUUCUUCUAUUCACAAUUGUAUAGUUGUGCAUCCUAGCUUUGAUCUUUGGCAUUUCAGGUCAGGUCAUGCACCAAUAAAAAGAAUAAAUGUAAUAAACAAACAUUGUUCUGAUGUUCAUAGUUCUAAGCAUUUGCUUUGUGAAAUUAGUUCUAUGGCAAAAUAGAGAAAAUUACCAUUUCCUGUGCAUGCACAAACAAGUGUUAGACCUUUUGAAAUUGUUCAUGCAGAAACAUAGGGUCUUUAUGAAAUACCUAUUGUUUCUAAUCAAAAAUAUUUUCUCACCCUAGUUGAUGAUUACUCACGUUUUACUUGGAUUUUCUUGAUGAAAUGUAAAUUUGAUGUUUCAACUAUCAUUUCAAAUUUUUAUAACUUUGUCAAAACUCAAUUCAAUGCUUAUAUCAAAGUUUUGAGAACAGACAAUGGAAAGGAGUUUGAUCUUAUUGAUUUCUAUGCAAAAACAAGAAUUGUUCAUCAUUUAACCUGUGUUGAAACUCCUCAACAGAAUGGUAGAGUAGAAAGGAUAUAUCAACACAUCUCAAUUGACAUAAGAGCUUUAUUGAAUCAGUGUCCAGUUCCUCUUCAUUUUUUAGGGUUAUGCAGUUCUCACUGUUGUCCAUAUUAUAAAUAAGAUGCCUAGAGAAACUCUUCACAAUUGCACACCAUAUGAAUUGUUGUACCAAAAACCUUUUUCCUAUGAUCACCUUAGAGUUUUUAGUAGUUUAUGUUUUGUUUUGACUCCUAGUCAACAUAGGAAAAAACUUUACAAAUGGGCAAGUAAGUGUAUUUUCUUAAGAUGUCCUAAUGAUGUCAAAGGCUAUAAGGUCUAUGAUCUUGAUGCUAACAAAGUUUUCAUUUCAAGAAAUGUAGUUUUUCAUGAACAUGUUUUCCCUUUUCAUUCUUAUCAGCAGACUUCUUUUGAUCAUGCAUUUUAUCAAACAUCUUAUGUGUAUGAGUCUAAUUUUUAUUUUGUUGAUACUGUUCCUAUGCCUUCUUCUGUCCAUGCACUUAUGAAUGCUUCCACAUCUUCAACUUCUCCUCUUGAUCCUUUAGACAUACUUGAAAAUUCAAAUUCUUCAAAUUCCUUCAAAUCUAAUUGAUUAAUCUGUUUCCAGCAAACAUGUUAACUCUACAAUUUACUUUUCUGAAUCUGUUUCUUCUUAUUGUUCUGUUAUUCCUGUUGAUUCUAUACCUCCUAGAAAAAGUGAUAAAACUAGGAAAUUGCCUAAAUACUUAUAAAUUUAUGAUGUUCAUUUGCCCUCUUCUUCAAAUUCUGUCACAUCUUAUCCGAUUGCACAAUUUUUAUCUUCUAACAAGUUAUCUUCCAAACACAAAUCUUUCACUGCUUCUUUAUCUCAACUUCAUGAACCUACUACUUAUCAUCAAGUUAUUCACUAUGAUCAUUGGAAAGAGGCUAUGGCUGCUGAACUAACAGCCUUAGAGGAUAAUGGCACAUAGAGUGUAGUUCCCCUGCUUGUAGAUUCUCAUGCAAUUGGUUGUAAAUGGGUUUUCAAAACUAAAAUGAAGGCAAAUGGUAGUAUAGAAAGGUUCAAGGCUCGUUUGGUUGCAAAAAGAUACAGUCAAAUUGAAGGUUUUGAUUAUUAAGAGACUUUUAGUCCUAUUGCUAAAGAGGUAACUAUCAGGCUUUUUUUUGCCUUAGUAGCAACUCAAGGGUGGUUUUUGUCUCCGUUAGAUAUAAAUAAUGCCUUCCUUAAUGGGGACCUUGAUGAAGAAAUGUAUAUGUCUUUACCACCUGGUUAUCAAGUCAAGAGGGAGUAUCUUCCUAAUACUAAGUUAGUCUGUAAAUUACACAAAUCUUUGUAUGGAUUAAAAUAGGCCUCUACGCAAUAGAAUGCAAAAUUUACUACAGCAUUAACAGAGUAUGUAUUCAACCAGUCUUUGUCAUACUACUCUCUGUUUACUUUAAAUACAGAUAAUGGUGGUUUUGUAACACUGCUGGUUUAUGUUGAUGACAUAAUCAUUGAUUCCAAUAAUCUUCAGUUAUCAAUGGACGUCAAAACUUAUCUAAGUUCACAUUUUAAGCUAAAAGAUCUUGGAGAAGUUAAGUACUUUCUUGGACUUGAAUUAGCAAGGUCAAUUGAGGGUAUAUCAAUUUGCCAAAGAAAGUAUGCUUUGGAUAUGUUGGAAGAGCAUGGACUUCUUGGUGUAAAACCAGUUUCAACUCCUAUUUAUUAUAAUCACAAAUUAGAAAAGGCCACUGAUGAUGAACAACUAGCAGAUGCAACGCUAUAUCGGCAACUCAUUAGGAAGCUUAUCUCAGUUUAUGGAUAAACCAGGUCAGGUACAUCUUAUGGCAGCAUAUAGAGUGUUGAAAUACUUAAAAGGGUCACCCAGACAAGGAAUUUUGUUAAGCUCCAAAUCUGAUUUGCAGCUCUCCACUUAUUCGGAUAGUGAUUGGGCCAGGUAUCCUGACACAAGAAAGUCAAUAACAGGUUUUUGUGUUUUUCUUGGUGAUUCUUUGGUAAGUUGGAAAUGUAAGAAACAAUCUGUAGUUGCAAGGAGUUUUGCUGAAGCAGAGUAUCGCUCAAUGGUAGCUACAUGUUGUGAAGUGAUAUGACUGAAAUAUUUGUUUUCUGACUCUGGAAUUGAAAAUUCAACAGCCAUAAAACUAUACAUAGAUAGCCAGUCUGCCAUUCAUAUAUGCAAAAAUCCGUAUUACAUGAGAGAACUAAGCAUAUUGAAAUGGAUUGCCAUUUCAUAAGAGAAGUCAAGUCUGGAUUGAUUGAACCUAUUCAUGUGUCCACAGUAUUACAAGUUGCAAAUUUGUUCACAAAGGCUCUAUAGCCAAGAGUUUUUCACAUACUUAUGACCAAGUCAUAUGUGCAUAACAUACACAGUUCAACUUGAGGGGAUGUAUUAAACAUUGAAGACGUUAUUCAAGUCCAGAUUGAUAAAACAGAGUUUCUGAGUAUUGAGGACUUAGUUGAAUCAGAACUCUUGUGUUUAGAAGAGUGGAAGAAGGACAAUACACGUGUAAUAUUUAUGUAAGACGGUGUAAUUUUAAGAAUCACAGUUUACUAAUAAGUUUAACUGUGCUAUAAAUUACUUUUCAAGUUAGUUGUUAGUUGUAUAGUUAGUUAAGAAAUCAGCUUUUGUAUUGGUUGAGAGGUUUUGUAUAUAAACCUUUGUAAUGAUUGAUUGCAUUAAUGAAAAAUUCAGUUUACAAUUCACUGACUUGCUUCAUCGUCUUCUCAAGCUCUUCUUCUCUGGUUUUCUUUGGUUUUAUUAUAGCUAGAACCAUAAAGAGCAUAACAUUCUUAAAAACUAUGUUAUCUACGUCCUCAGGAAAUUGGGACUUUACUCCCAGCAGAUUUAAUAAGAGACAUAUAUCAAUAUAUGGUGGAUGCUCCCCAUAUUGUGAUGGUUUUGAUGUGGUCUGAUUGCUUCCGUUCUUUGCAACAUCUUAGCUGGAGUUUUUGGGAGCUAUAUUGUAACUUUUGACAAGUAUUGUAGAGGUUGUGUUGUAGUUCUUUGGUGCUUGGUCUUUAUGUUAGACGGUUUUAUCAGUUCAUCCCUGUACUUUAUUCUUUGCUUUGCUGGCUAUUUGUUAGUUUUGUAACAUCUCGAUUGCUUAAUAAAUAUUUUUAGUUUAACAAAACAUCAGUAUCCUUGGAGGGAAUUUGAUCAACUUUGCUAUAGGACAGGCUAAUUAAUUGAGGAGAUUAGUCUUUUUUUUUCUUUGUUGAGUUGACUAUAUUCUUGUUGCCAUUCAGCUAAUCUGGUUAUUUCAUCCUAGAUCAGUGAGUUCUUUAUACAAGUUUUUUUUUCUUUUUGUGGUAAACCUUUUUUUUUUUUUUUGCUCAAACAAGUUCAUAUUAUUAAUAAAAGUAAGCUGAAGCAGCCUUACAGACCAAGGAAAUGAAAUGGACAAUUGUCAUUACAAUCGCCACUAAACACCAGAACUCAAAAGAAAGAAUAAAUACAGCAUUUUGAUUUACUAGAAAUAAAUAAAAGGUGGCCUGCUCGUAGCACUCGGGAUUGCGAGGACAAGAUAGUCACAGCAAUUCUGACAAAACUGGGCAGAGGAGGUAUCUCCAAAACAGAGGUCGGCAGUGAAAUCAGCUUCACUGGUGGCUGCAGCAAUUCAAGGCCUUCUCACCAGCAUGCGCAAAACAUGGUCGAUCUGUCCACUCCAAUCUUUGCGAGAGAGUCAGCGGAAAAGUUUGCCUCGCCUCCCUGUAGAUUUGUGGUAUACUAAUUAGCAUUUGCUAUUAUUUCUUGUUUACAGCCAGAUCUUGUUGUUUUCAUAGGGAAAUACCAAGCAGGUUCCUAGUUGCUUGCUAUAUUGGCAUCAUACAUAUUGUAUACAGAUGAUUAAAACACAGUAUUCUGGUUUUUUUUCCUUUCAUUUUCAUGCUCCAAAGCCUGAAGCACCCACCUAUUCUCUAUCAGUGGAAAAGCACAAGAAGCACCAAUUGCUGCAUUGGAUACUUGUUCUGUUGACUUGGCAGCAUUUGCGUCUGGUGUACUAGAUGCUCUGACUGUGACUGCGGCUGCUGCACUUGAUUCUGUUAGUCCCAGUACAUAGACAAAAUCAAGAAAUUGUACAAUUCGUUCCUGUAACCUUAAGGGCAUUCCCAACAAAGGCAGCAAAGAGGCAGCCUAAAAGCUAAAGAAAAAAGCAAUAAGUCUGCAAAACUCAGAGAUUCUGAAGCAAAUCAAAGCAAAUAAUUUGAGAAGAGCUAUCUUUGUUAAUGCCAUCCGCUCCUCAAAAUGGUUACUAACCUUUGCCAUCAAUCCAUUCUGCUUCGGCCUGGAAUAUGCUCAUCCUUAUGUCAUCAAAUGUAGCCGGGAUGUCCAAUACAAGGCAAGACAGAGGACAGAACUGGAUAAACUACAAAUCUAUAAUGGCAAUCAUAAGAUAGAAGGACAGAGCUAGAUAAAGGCAAGGCAAUGCAUGUAUAGUUCAGUUUUGGUAUUGAGCCCCCCAUUUCCUCAAUUCUCUUUUCUGAAUGAUUUUCAUCUAUAACAGAACAGAAAGCAGACAGUCCUCAAGAAAGCUGCCAAAGCAAGACCGUCACGUUAGCUAAUGACCCACAAGAGAUCUUGUGAUCGUUGAACUCCCGAUUUGGCAAGGUCGUUUGCCAUCUCGUUUGCCGAGCUUACAAUGUGGGCAAUUUUCCAUCUUUCCAGCUGUGAAGUUUAAGGCUUGAAGAAUAAAAUUCCUCAUCCUCCAUGGAAUUGCCUGUGCAUGUAAAAUCCAGUUAACCGCAUUUGGAUUAACGAGCAGUUCUGUAAGAUUAGAGUCCAUAGUGCCAAUUGACUUAAAGAACAAUCAACAAAACAAUAUCAGCCUUCGAUGCUGGCAGCGCCAGGCUUGCCCCUCAAUGAUCCGUCAACCUUAAAUUUGGAAAUUUUCUAUGAAACAAAAGAAAUUUUUUGUUACAUCAUUUUUACUAUUCACUUUUUAUUUUUUUUCCAAAAUUUACCAUAAAUAAACAAAAUCAUAAAAUAAUUUAAUACAACUGAGACUUGAAACUAGUUGAGAAGCAAAGAAACCAAAAUGAUUUUACUUGGGGGUGGGCUGAUCUGAUUACCAUUGCCAUGUUCCUAAAAUUUCUCAUAUUCUUGGCUGCUAUAUUGAACUAAUUGAGUAACUUGUCAAUCUUUAAAUCUUGUUCUUAUUUUUUUUUUAUAUUUGAGCACGAAGUUGAAUCUCAGCAGCAAGGUAUAAUGAUUUUCUUUCAACUAGGAAAGUACGUGGUAAACUUCAACCCAUCAACAAGUUGACCCAUGUUUAUUAGAAAUUUGCCUACUUAUCCUAUGCAGAAAUGGUUGUUUCCUGAUAUCGUUAGUUAUAAAACUGUAAAUUCAUUAGGAAGCCAUGCGUCUUUCACGUGCUCAUUCCUUGUCGUUGAGGGCCAAGUCGGCCACAUUCUUUGUUGUAAGAUAAUUUUUCAGGUCAUCACACCGCCUUGUCAAAUCCGUCUCGCAACCGCCUACCCGCUUUGGAGAAAAUUAUUGGAGCUUUGGAUAUGCACAGGUAUCCGGAAUCUAAUUUGGUUCACAUUUAUACAACAUUUAGGGUACUCGUUAUUUUUCUUUUUAGCACAAAAAGCAAGAAGUUGACCAGAUUUGUCAAUAGUUAAGUAGUACCACUCGGAUAUCGUAUGCUCCCAAUGGCUUGAUGUAAGCAGUAUUGUGGGCUCAGUUUUGUGUUUUUUUUAUUUUUCUCGGCCAAAACGUGGGACUUUAUCUAUAUAAAGCACUGAAAGAUACAGUGAUGGUUAUAGCUUAUAGCUACCCACACAUUCAUCGCACCUGAUAACACGUAUUGGCACACACAACAGCAAGCCAAAAUAUUGAUGAUUACAGCAGUAAAGCUCAUAUAUCCCAUCUAAACCAAGCCAAACGAAAUACAUAAGAAGGGGAACGUAUGAUCAACGGCAUUAAGCUACUGUAAAACACAACAGUGAAAGUCACCACCACGUUGAGAACAUAGAAUCGCUAUCCACACCAAGCUUAGCUCAGUUUUGUGUUGAUGAUGACUUUGUUUCAAACGUGCUGGUGUUGCAGCAGUAAUCAUCUGGGUUCACGUACUUGGUCCUUUGACCCUGCUUUGCUCAUUAAUAUGGGGAGAUACAGAAAGAGGGAGAUGGAUUAUAAAAUGCCAAGGGAAGUGGAUUAUGGUAGUAACAAAUGCCAUGAGAUCUUAAAACUGUCAGGGGAGGAGAUGAUCUUUCUGAUUACAGUGGAGAUUUGGCGUUAGGAUUCUUAUCAGGAAUGGGGAGUUUCUUUAAUUUAGUACCAAUUAACAAGCAUCCGUAUCAUACGAUAAUAUUGUUAAUAUUUACACAAGUGAAUACUAAUGCUGCCUACGUUUGAUGAACUACAUUCUCUUUAGUAUUUAUAAUACAGUCUCAGAUACCACAAGGCCUUGCGUACCAAUUCCUUCAACUCGGGACGCUGUGAAACUACGUACCUGUGCAGACUCCCCUUUCUAGUUACUAAUUGUUGAAUGACAGUCCUGACCCUGGCUUCUUCCAUAGCCGCGCUGUAAUCAGUAUUCACGGCCAGAUAGCAGAGAAGCACCAAUCGAUGCAGCUGCUGUGUCCUUUCACCAUCGCUCAGCAAUUUCAUCAAAGGCUUUACAGCGUUGAACUCGAUCAUUGUCUUUGAAUGCUCUUUGCAAAAAUAACUGCCUGGAUAGGCAAACUUUUGUAAAGCAACGAUAGCUUCCGUUGCCACUUCUUGGUGCACAUUGACAAGCUGCGACACCAAAACACUAAUCGUAUGAGGACUUUCUCCUGCUUUGAAAAUUCUCGCUAAGGAACCGAUCGAUUUGAUGGCAGGAACUUGCAGUUUAGGGUGAUCCUCUGAUUCUUUAAUCACCCUUAAGAGCUGCUCAACAAUAGCCUUUGCACCACGAGAACUGGUCUUAAAUGUUUUGCAUCGAAGAUCGAGAUCUGAUUCGGCUGCGGCAGUGAUUUCCUCUAUAAUCAUCAAGCAAUUGUACUGGAAUUCACCAUCCUCCGCUUCCACCAACUUAGCCAAGCAAAACAUUAAUUUUUUUGUCUCGUCUAUCAUCCUACUACUAUUUAGAACACUCCCAACGUUAAGCAUCGAUAAAGCUUCCGCACAACAUAUUUUCAGCUCAGGUGGAGAAGUUUCACUCAGCAAUGGGGCUAGCUGCCAAAUCAAUUUUUCUGCAACCAUGCAAGACCAGGCCGAGAGAGUAGAUGAAUCGUUGCUGAGGAAUUGAGGCAACGAGAGAAAGAUUUCAUCAAAGGAGCUGCCGAAAUCGGGGUUGUACAAGAUAAGAAGACACUUCAUGGAUUCGAUAGAGACGUCUAAAAGGUAGUAGAGCUUGUAGAGAGUGGUGUCUAAUUUUGAUUUUGUGCCGGUGAAGAGUCGACAAACAAUGGUUUUGCGUCUACACUUGCAGGCCAGGGUUAAGGCCUCCUGAAGGAUCUUGCAGACCUCUCUGAUAACACAAUCAACUGGGUUCAAGUUAAACAAUAUCGGACCCAUGGCGAUGAAGCAGGCCAGGUUGUUUAGCAUUUGCGAGAGAUGAACCACUCGCUUUUCCAUCUCCCCGCGGUAUAUCCUGAACGAUUUGGCCUGAUCAACCGCCUCGCCAACUUGCCUCGCUAGUACUAUCAGACCCACCAAGAGCUGCUCGAUUAGUAUCUUCUGAUCAGCCUGCAUCAUAUUCGUAGCUCACUCACCUGUUAACCCAAGGAUUCAAUAACUAAAUUUAAGUGCUUUAUUUCUACUCUAGUUUUGCUGGGUUAUGUUCGUCGAAGGCUGAAUUUGUGCUUUUAUAGCCAAAGAAGGAAUGAAGGUUUCGAUUUGACCGAGAGAGGGGGAGGGGUUGAAAAGCAGGGCAUUGGUUACUUUCUCUUUUCUGUUUUUGAUCUCAAAAACGACAGACUUGAGCGAGCUACGAACGUGAAACGCGCGAUUUAAAGCAAGACAAGACAGUAACCAUCACCAGUUGCUAGUGUCUCGUCACAUCAAGCUUGGAAAUGGUCGGUACGGUCUCAAAGGCGGCUAAGGUACUUUUCUAUAUAACGUUCGAUAUGUACCCCGACUGAAAAUAAGUGUCUCUGCACCCAGGCGAGAGGCAGAGAGAGAAAUAAUGAAACAUAUUUAUAAAAAUUUUAUUUAUAUGUGAAGAAAUACAAAGAUGAAAAGUUAAUUUGAAUAUCAACGUGUUAUAACAAAUUACAAUUUAAGGAUUUUAUUUUGAUUUGUUGAAGUUUAUUGAUUCUUAUUCUUGUUCUUACCCUUCGUACUACAUCUGUAUCUUAGUCAGAAGGUAAAUGCAUUUUCUAUUCUUGAUCAUCGAGGCUUGACUAGUGAUUGCAUUAUCUUCUUUUGACUUGCAAGAGCCUUGUACGUAUGUUCCAUUUGUUUGAGGUGACGACAUUAUCAUUUUAAAUCUGUCUUGAACCUGCUUUGGGCCCUCUCCAACCCUCAUUAGAUUCGGGGGGCAAAACGGUAGAGACAAAAAAUGGGGUUGGGCCAUACGCACAGUCUGAGAAAGGCUGAAAGAAAAAUGUAUCCAAUCAUGUCAAGUCUGAUAAUAUCUAUAUUUGAAUUAUUAAUCCACAUACAUAGUUAUUGACUUUGGCCGUUGCCGCGUCAAGCAAACAUUGUUCGGAUGAAAUAACCGCGUGCACUCGACCGAUGCCGCAAGAUCGGAAAUUGCCUGCGUUCCUUCCUCACAAAAGAGCUUUUGACCCGCAUGGAAAAAAGCACAUAAAUACAAAAUAAAUAAAUGAGUUGCACUAUUUUUUUCAUUUUACUAUGUAUUUAACAAAAUAAAUAAAUAACACAAAUAAAAUGUUUGGAUGAAAUAUAAAAAAAAUUGAAUGAUUGAAAAUUUUCGAAUAAGUAUAUGAUAAAAAAAUAACACAUCAACAAUUCAAUAUUAUCAAAAAUUAAAAACUCACCCAACUUUGCUAGUCAUUUUGACUUGAAUUUCUUUAUCCAAAUGUGGUGUCCUUAUUUUUUAUUUUUUACCUCUUCAUUUGGUUUUUAAUACUAUUUGAUUCUAGUUUCCCAUGAUUUUAAAGUUUCAUUUUUCUUUUGCAGAUUUAAUUUAUUUAUUUUGAACUCUCUUAGUUACUGUUUAUCCAAUUGUAUGUUAUAGAAAAAUUGAUGAGACUAAUUGUUUGAUGAAAUCUUUGUUGGAAAUAUUUGUUAAAAUAUGUUAGGUUGACAUUGCCAAAGAAAAAAUUAAUUUAUUUCAUGAGAUUUUUAUGGAAGUUAUAGUAAUCUUUCAAAAAGUUUGACAAUAUAUUGGCUUUUUUAUCAUUUUAUCUGAUAAAAUUGCGUUAAAAAAAAUUUACUUUUUCGUAUAAAUAUUUAAUAAAAUUUUAAUUUUUCAAUUAAUUAAAAAAAUUCAAUGAUGUGACAUGAAUAUAACAAGAGAUUUCCGUUCAUAAGGUGAUCCCCCAUGUCCAAUUACACCUUCCAAAUCUUUUCCCGAGGGAGGAUAACCCAUUUAGAACGUUCGGAUUAGUUGCAAUUCUAGAAAUAGCAGGAAGGAACUAAGGCUCCUUUCUGCCACGCAAAUUAUUUAAAAAAUGGCAUCAGUAUUACUAAGAAUCACUAGCCUGUAUUGACGCCUUUUUCCAUAUGCUAAAGACCAUGAAAAGAAACAAUUUAGCUUUUGGUGGAUUUUGAUUUUAGGCAUAAAUUUUAAAAAUUUAAAUUAUUUAAAAAUUUUAAAUAAAUUUUUAUUUUUCUAUUAUGAUCAAUCAAGAUUUUAUAUUUUUAUUUUGAUCUAAAUAAUUCAUUAUAAUUAAUGCUCAACUAAUCGAUAUUAGUUAAGAUAGCAAUUAUCAAAUUUAUAUCACAUAAUAUUGAUAUAAUUUGUUAAUAUAUUAUUAUAAUAAUAUUAAUAUAGCAUGAUAAUACAAUAAUAUAACCUUUUUCAAUUUCUACAUUUAUGUCACGUCACUACAACAUAAACCGAUUUUAACUAUACAAUUUUAGCUGCACUUUUAUUUUUGCGUUUAAAGAAUUUGUUAUAGUAUUUGAAUUUUAAAAUUUAGAUGCAUUUUUUAUUUUUGCAGCUCAUAAAAAUUUAAUUAAAAAAAUUAUCUCUUACAUCUUACAAUCUCUCUUUUUCUCUAAAUAAAAAAAAUAUCAAUUAUUUGAUUCUUUCUAUUUUUCACUUUUCAUACUAAACACAAAGAAUGAAAAAUAUCUUUCUUUCUUUCUCUUUUCCUUUACUCACCCCUUUUUUUUUUUUAGUUUUCGAAUUUUUCUUCCCCGUUAUCAAAAAUAAAUUUUUUGAAAAUUAAUGAAUAAAACAUUUUUUUCUUUGCAUCUGUCUCCCCUCUAUCUCUCUGCACCUCUUUCUUUUCUUCCAAAAUCUUUCCCUUUCCUUCGCCGCACUUCUCCUCUCUAAAACCUCUUUCUUUUCUUUUCUACUUCCUUCGUUCAUUGCUUUUCCUAAUUAAGCUAAUUUUGCUUGUAAAAAUCUUACCUUUUUAAUCUCAUCUUCUUUUCCCCAAGAAACUAGGGUUUUGUCAAAUGUGACCCCUUUUGGUACAAAAACAGGGCACUCGAUUCUCAAAUCUCUGUUUUUUUUUUAAUUAUUAUUACACGAUUUAAGAUUUCUUUUGUAGGACUUGAUUGUUCAUUGAUUUGAUUCUUGCUGGCAUGUUAAUGACAUUGAACCUAUUUCAACCGUAAUAUUUUUUUUAUUGGAUUGAUAUGGGAUUGAUAUGGUUAGUUGUGUGUUUUUUAAUCCCAUUUUUUAUUUUGUGUGAUGAUUUAGGCAAACAGGCACACCAUUGUUUUGAUGCAAACUUCGCAGAACAGAGCACCUAGAACGUUUGUGGAUUAUGAUUCUAUCAGUCAAGCUAUGGACAGUAUGCUUUUUGUUUACUGUUGCUUAUAUUAUCUUUGUUUUUGUUGUUGCUCAUAUUAUGAUUUUAUCAGUCAAGCUAUGAAUAGGGGUUUGGAGGUGGAAAUCAAAGCAAUCAAAAGUGAGCUUUAUGAUAGGAUACAUAUACAUUUCAUACAUUUUAUAGAGUUCCUAUUGCAUUAGUUUUCUUGAAAAUAGCUUCUAUUGCAGGCAAUGGACUAUACCUUUUGGAAGUUGGCUUGUGGAGUUGAGAAUGAUUUUUAGAUUUGAUUGUGCAUAUGUCUUUUUUUCUCAAGAAUGUAUGUCCAAAAUUGUUUAUAUUUUUGAGUUGCAUUAAGAGGAAAUGAAUUAGUGUGGUUUCAAUAUGAUGCACUAGAUGGAAUCCCUUCUCUUCUUCCUUUCCAUCAUUUAAAAGAUUUGACAAUUUUAACAGUAUAUAUUAUUUGCCGUGUGCAGGUAUACGUGGACUAUAUGAAAGGAAACUUAAAAAGCUCAACCCAGCAACUCAAAACAUAACGUAUGACAUUGGUGUUCUUUACAAUUUUAUUGAUGGCCUUGCAGAUAUGAUUGCCCUCGUGUAUGACUCUCUCUCUCUUCCUCCGCCUUUUUCUGGUAUGUUAUAUUGUAGAUAUAAGUACCAUGUAUUGUCUGUUAUAUUGCAUGUUUACUGAGUCAUGUGUCAAUCAAGUGUUACGAUAACUGUCUUUUAAAGGCAUGAAUUUGUCAUGUAAAACCUGACCUUAAGGAAUAAGUAUGUGUUUUCAGUCCAUGAAUUACGAUGGAUUUUUUUUUUCUGCUGAAACCCAGAUUGGUUCGUGAAUGAGUUUUGUCCAACUUAUAACAAUAGAUAUGCCUUAUAACAAUAGAGGGAUGAUUGCUCUUGGAGGCUUCUUGGCAUUAUCCCUGUUUGCCUACCUUUGAAGACUCGCGGGGGUUUCAACUGGAAUAAUUCAUUUGUUCGAUUAGGGAGUUUGUCGGUCUGGGCCACAUAGGCUACUCACCUUUUUUCACUCUGGUUGAAUUUUACUAGUAUUAGACUUUUGUUUAGGGGUUUUAUUCAGAACUAUGCUUGUUUUUUGAGAUUAUACAUGCUGAGAUGCUGCCAAGUGCUCCUUGAGCAGCUGUUACUUUUGUAAUUGUACAGAACAGGCUCUUCUCAAGAUAGCUUUAUGCUAACAGGAGCCUCCACGUUCGAGACUCCCCAUGGCAUUACAGCUUAUCUAUAAUAAAAACUCAUAUUUCAAAAAAAAAAAGAUAUGCCUUAUUGCUAUUAAUUUAGAUUUUAGAGAGAUAAUAAGAGGGUUUUUUUUUUGGUUUUGCUUUUGCUUUCUUGCUUUGGAGACAGCAGUUACAGUUCCUCUUUGUCCUUCAUCGCAAAAGAACUUGUUUUUAUCUAUUUAGGAGAACUUACAUUAGUGGCCAUAGGUUAAUUUGUCAAUUUGUCUUCAUUUUGAGUAUUGUUGUGACUGCAACCUGUUUUAUAUGCUUGUUGAAUAUAAGUAGGCAUUGUUGCAACUAUGUAAUAGCAUGAUAUGUCUUCUUCUCUGGUCAGUAUUAGAGUCUUACACUCAAAUUUUUCUUGUUUCAUCUGGUAUUCUCUCUAUAAUUUUUAAGGCACAAACACUAAAUAUGCUAUUCUUGAGGAGUUUUAGAAGUUUUCUUGUUGAAUUAUUUGAUACAUAUGACUGGAAUUUGAAAAUAUGGUGAUUUACUGAAUGCUGGGAUAUUGAUGUCGAAUGAUAUAAAUAGUGCCAAUUCAUUUAGCACUUUAUGGAAAAAGUUCCACUAUCUUGAACGUCCUGAUCCCAUGAUUGUUUGUUGUGGACAAUUAAGAUUACUGUGGUGGAAUAUCUAAAUACUUAUCAAAGAUCUUGAAAUUGAUUGAUUUUGCAGUCAAAAGGGACACUUCAAAUGGAUGCCUUUUCACCAUGUGAUAAAAGAUUGUGAUUCUAGGAGGACAUUCACAAGGCCUUGGAGUCAUUGAAGAGUGGACAUCAAAAGGGAAACUUUUAUUUUCUAUUGCAACUAUUUUUUAUUUUCUUUCAAUUCUCAAGUUUAGUUACUUAAUUAUAACAAUUUACAGCUUAAUCGAUCAUCAUUGAUCGGUUGCCAAGAAAAGGAACAAAUAAUCAAACACCAAAUAUUUGAUAAUAUAUCUCUAAAUCAGAUUUGUAAGGUUAGUUACUUGCAAUCACUUUAAGAGUUUUUACAAUUUUGAGGUUCUAAUUUGUCAUAUGAUCUAAGAUUUAUGAUUUAUGAUUGCAUUUUUAUUUAUUUUUAGAUGGUGGAAGUCAAUGUUCCUCAACUUCUCUUUGAAGAAUAAAAGCACAACUUUGAACAAAUGAGCCUAACAAGAUACUUGGAAGAAUUGAUUCCAAAUGCUACUCUUGAUGAAUCCUGUAAGUCAUUUUAUGUUAAUUAAUUGAUUGUUCAUGGCUGGACAUAUUAGGAUUUUUGUGCUGCUUUUUGAAUUAUUAUUUAAUUAAAAUUCUUAAAGUGUUGCAUAAUUUAUACAUGAAUGGAGUUUUGGAUUUUUUUUUUAAUUUUUGUUUUAGAAAAGUAACAAUUUUAUAAGUUUAAAACUAAUGGCAAUGUGAUGUUAAAACUUGGAGUUAGGGGCUCCUAUGUGUAAGCUGGAUUUAUAGGAUAUCUAGUAUAGUUACUCUAGAAUCAUUGAGAUAGCAUGCAUUCAAGCUAUAUUUGAUUCAUAGGAGGCCUUAUCGAAGAUGUUAAAACAUAAGACACCUUUUUUGCUUUCCAAUCUCCAAUGUUAAACUAUGCAUCAUUUGAAACUUGUGUAGUACCAUGCUAGAAGAGAGUUAGAUAUGAAAGAGAACAAAUUAUGAAUCUUUUAUAAUUUUAGCAGUUUUCUAUGUUCUUUUUUUUCUCCAUUUUUUGCUUUGUUUUCAAAUCAAAUCAAAGAGCACAAAUAAAUUUUUGUUCGUUGGUCAGUGAGUAUGCUUUGUCUCAUAUUACAUUAUGAAUUACUUGCAAAUUAAUAUUAUCUUGCAAAUUAAUCUUUACAGGUAAGGAAGGUUGGGAACUGCAAUGUCAGAUGGUUUUAUUAGGUUGGAGAAGGGACAAACAAAUAUGUACAAAGAGAAAUUGGAGAGAAAAAGAGAGAAAGAGAGAUUACCCCAUAUUGUACACGUUGUAAAGACCUUGAGGGUCCAUGUUCCAAGUUGAAAAUGGUUUUUGAGACAUUUGACGUUUGAGGCAUUAGUUGCUGCAAUUUGAUUUUAGAGACACUUUAUGGUUUGUGAGCAUUUUGUUUCUAUCAUAAAACUUAUUGCAUAUUAGAAGGUUAUAUGUGUCUCUAUUUUAUAGCUAAACACAUUUUAUAUGCUACCAUAUGAUUUAAGAUUGUAGUCAUAUAGUAUACAGCUACACUUUAAUUUUGCUGUUGAAUCCCAUAAAUAAGUGCAGCCAUACUUUUUCAUACAUUUGCUGGGAUAUUAAUGUAAUUUUAUUUGCAGCCAAAGGUGAAAAAUGUUGUAGUGCGUUAUCAUUAUGUGAGUAUAAAAUAACAAAAGAUAUUUUCAUUAAUUAUAAUUAAUUAAUCAGUUAUUAAUCAUAAAAAUUUAUUUUAUUUUAAAAAAUACAACAACAAAUACAAUAAAAAUAAAUAUUAAUUUAAUUUUUUUAAAAUAAUUCAAAAAAAAUUUCAAACAUUAUAACUUAAUUUUACGUCCAACGGUAAAAGAAUUAAUCAAGAUACAUGAAUGUUCCUAAAUUGAUCCAAACACGUAAAACCUGACUAGGCCCCAUUGUCUCAGUUUGGUCCAAAUAGUAAAGCUUUCGGGGUUGGGCCCAUAUAGAAUGUUCACGUGAAUUAACCUCUUUUGUCUUUUUAAGGAAACUUUUUUUUACCAACUCAAGAAAUAAUUCUAAAAUUUUAACCCCUUUUUUUUUAAUCUAGUAUGGAUAAAUAAUGUAUACAACUAUUUUACAAUAAGAUUGUUUCAACAGUUAGUGAAUGCUAAUACCAAGGGCGGAGUUAGCCAAAUUUUGUUAAGAGGGCUAAACACAGAAAAAUAAGAGUUAAAAAUUUAAAAAAUCUAAUAUGUUAAAUUCAAUUAACAAUAAAAAUAUUGAUAAUAAAAAUAUGAAACUAAAUAUAAAAAUAUAAUUUGGUUCCUUGAGUUAUGUUGCCUAAGUUAUAUUGCAGAUUACACACUCUACUGUCAUCUGGCUGUGCAAAACUCUAUUUCAAUGUGUUCCAAAUAUCCAUGGCAGAGUCCAUAUAGAAAACAGUUGAUGCAAUUGGAGGAGUGAUGGAAUCAAGCAACUAGGCAACAAUAAGAUUGUUGCAUCGAAUCCAUGAUGGAUAUAGGGGGUCCAUUCCUUCAGCUUUGGGGACAGAUCCAUUUAUAAGUCCCAUUUUGUUUCUGAUGGACAAGGCAAAAAGAAAUAAUCUGCUCCAUGCCACAUAGUUAUUUGUGGUGAGCUCGGGGUUGAUGAUGAUUGAACCUGGAUGAUCAGUAUGAUGGAAAUAGUAAGGAGAUUGGGGGUCUUCAAUGGGUGAAAUCUGAGAGGCUAUUUGUGAUGAAGUAUGGGUUGAAGGUUGAGGUCCUUGAGAUCUCGAUUCACUUGUUUUAGACAUGAUUGAGACCAAAUCUAUACUAUACUGAUAGAUCAAAUGAAAGUAAUAAGGAUUGAAAAAAAUAUAUCAGAAAAGAUCUUGAUGGGUAGUAACGUUACCAGAGACGACGGUGAAGGUAUGAGGGAUCACACGAUUUCUGCUGCUGUCAUUAUUCCACGAGACAUGAAUUUUUAAGCACCAUUUUUGACCUGUUUUGAUACCAUGUUGAAAUAUGGUUGAGAAACAGAUAAUAUUUGGGGAAUCAUUUUUUGAUUCAUUCUCUCAGAGAGAAAAGGUACAAGAAAGUCUGUCUAUAUAUAUAUACACACACAAUAGGCAAGAAGAAAUGACAAAAGCUAUAACUAAUUAGGCUAUUAACUAACUUAACAGCUACUAAUUAAUUACAUCCUUUAGUAUCAACCAAUCAGGCAAAAGAUGAAAAUCAGAUCAUCUUUAUUAAAUAAUAUUAUGGAAACAAAUUUUCAUCAUUGGAAGUUAAGGACCGUGAUUAGUUUAAGUUUAAGCUGAUAAUCAAGUCACUUAUCUUAUUUUCAUCUUUUGCCAUUCCCAGUUGCUUUUGGAAAUCUACGGGGACCAUAUAUUCUAUCCAAUUAAUCCCAGGUACAUCCUAACACGUCCAUUCUAGCUCGAGCUUUUAGCAUCUUCGUAAGUGAAAUACCGAUUUUAACCAGAUGUUUUGCUUUAGCCGUUAAAGCACUAGAUGACCCUACUGUACAUCGACUUGCUUUAUUUUACUCGUUUUCUUUUUGAAUUAUUAGAUGUCUGUUGAAAUGUGGUUGAGAAGCAGAUAAUAUUUGAGGAAUCAUUUUCUGAUUCAUUCUCUCAGAGAGAAAAAGUACAAGAAAUUCUGUACAUAUAUAUAUAUACACAAUAGCCAAGAAGAAAGGACAAAAGCUACAACCGAUCAGGCUAUUAACAAACUUAACGGCUACUAAAUUAAUUACAUCCUUUAGUAUCAACUAAAACGGUGUAGUAUUGAAAUACUUAUGGCCUUCUUCCUAAUAAAAAUGAAACGGUGCGUUUCUUCAGUCUUUGUUCUUCUUCUGCUAUGUACAAGUAGCAGUUUCCUGGUAGCAGCCUUGCUGCCUUUACCCUUCGGCUACAUUAAAGUAUUCAUGUUCAGUCUUCCUGAUUAAUAAUGUCCAAGAAAUUGUCUCUGAAACUUCCACCUCCUUUCAAGGAAGACUCCUAUUCUGGAUUUGUUGAUAUUUUUCUCCUAUUUAAGUGAAGCUGAGGAAAUGCGAUUUGAAAACGUCAAAAAAAGAAAUUAAAAAAAAAAAAAGAUGGAGAGUCAUGUGAAUGAGUAUUCUGAAGUGAAGGAGGCGCUCUUGUUGGAGGUAAAAAGGGCCCAUAUAGAAUGUUCACGUGAAUUAACCUCUUUUGUCUUUUUAAGGCAACUUUUUUUUACCAACUCAAGAAAUAAUUCUAAAAUUUUAACCCCUUUUUUUUUAAUCUAGUAUGGAUAAAUAAUGUAUACAACUAUUUUACAAUAAGAUUAUUUCAACAGUUAGUGAAUGCUAAAACCAAGGGCNCAGGCUAUUAACAAACUUAACGGCUACGAAAUUAAUUACAUCCUUUAGUAUCAACUAAAACGGUGUAGUAUUGAAAUACUUAUGGCCUUCUUCCUAAUAAAAAUGAAACGGUGCGUUUCUUCAGUCUUUGUUCUUCUUCUGCUAUGUACAAGUAGCAGUUUCCUGGUAGCAGCCUUGCUGCCUUUACCCUUCGGCUACAUUAAAGUAUUCAUGUUCAGUCUUCCUGAUUAAUAAUGUCCAAGAAAUUGUCUCUGAAACUUCCACCUCCUUUCAAGGAAGACUCCUAUUCUGGAUUUGUUGAUAUUUUUCUCCUAUUUAAGUGAAGCUGAGGAAAUGCGAUUUGAAAACGUCAAAAAAAGAAAUUAAAAAAAAAAAAAGAUGGAGAGUCAUGUGAAUGAGUAUUCUGAAGUGAAGGAGGCGCUCUUGUUGGAGGUAAAAAGGGCCCAUAUAGAAUGUUCACGUGAAUUAACCUCUUUUGUCUUUUUAAGGCAACUUUUUUUUACCAACUCAAGAAAUAAUUCUAAAAUUUUAACCCCUUUUUUUUUAAUCUAGUAUGGAUAAAUAAUGUAUACAACUAUUUUACAAUAAGAUUAUUUCAACAGUUAGUGAAUGCUAAAACCAAGGGCGGAGUUAGCCAAAUUUUGUUAAGAGGGCUAAACACAGAAGAAUAAGAGUUAAAAAUUUUAAAAAUCUAAUAUGUUAAAUUCAAUUAACAAUAAAAAUAUUGAUAAUAGAAAUAUGAAACUAAAUAUAAAAAUAUAAUUUGUAAAAUAUAAAUAGAUAAAAACAAUAUAUAAGAUUAAUAAUUUUUUUAGAUAAUCAGAAUUAUUUAAAUACUUUAUAUUUAAGAUAAUUUCAUUUCAACUAGAUAUAAAACAUAAAGCGUAUAAAAAAAAACUUAAGUUAAUUUCCUCUUACAUAAUCAAUAUUAAUAAAAAAUAAUAAUACACUGAUGAAAUUUUAAAUAACAAUGUAACACUACAAUUUAUAGUUGAAAACUAUAUAAUAAUUUAUUAAUUUUUAAAGAUUAGAAUCAUAGAAAAUAAAUCUACAUAACAUAAAAAAGAAAAACAUAAUAUGUAGAAGGUAGAUACCAUAUAUUAUAUAACAAAAAAGAAAGAAAAAGAAUAUGAUUAAUUGUUCGUAAAAAUUUGAGAGAGAAAAUUUAUAAAAACUUAUAACAUUUGAACAAAUAAAAUAAAAAUUAAAAAAAAUAAAUAUAAAUAAAAAUAAUAAUAUAAAUUAAAAAAAUUUAAAAAUUAAGUGAGAUAUGUGAAAUCAUUUUAUUAUUAUUUAUUUAUAUUAAUUAUUAACUAAAAAAUUAUUUUGAGGGGACAAUUAAUAGAAUAUAUAUAAAAAUGUUAUGAAAAAAUCUUUAAAAGCAUGCCCCCCAUCACAUAAGGAGGCUCCGCCCCUGACUAAUACUGCCUACCUUUGAUGAACUACAUUCUCUUUAGUAUUUAUAAUACAAUGUCAGAGACCCCAAGGCCUUGGAUACCAAUUCGUUCAACUCGGGAUGCUGUGAAACACCGUGCCUGUGCGGCCUUACCUUUCCAGUUGAUAAUUGCUGUAUGGCAGUCCUGACCCUGGCUUCUUCCAUAGCCUCGCUGUAAUUAGCAUUCACGGUAAGGUAGCAGAUAAGCACCAAACCAUGCAGCUGCUGUGUCCUUUCACCGUCUCUCCACAAUUUCAUCAAAGGCUUCACAGCGUUGAACUCGAUCAUUGUCUUUGAAGCGCUUGGCAAAGACAAUUACCUGGAUAGGCAAACUUUUGUAAAGUAACGAUAGCUUCCGUCGCCACUUCUUGGUGCACAUUGCCAAGCUGCGACACCAAAACACUAAUCACAUGAUGACUUUGUGUUUUUUUGAAAAUUCUCGCUAAGGAACCGAUCGAUUUGAUGGCAGGAACUUGCAGUUUAGAGUGAUCCUCCGAUUCUUUAAUCACCCUUAGGAGCUGUUCAACGAUAGCCUUUGCACCAGGAGCAUUGGUCUUAAAUGUUUUGCAUCUAAGAUCGAGAUCAGAUUCGGCUGCGGCAGUGAUUUCCAUUAUAAGCAUCAAGCAUUUGUAACACCUUGGGCAGGUGGAGAAGUUUCACCCAGCAUUGGGGCUAGCUGCCAAAUCAAUUUUUCUGCAACCAUGCAAGACCAGGCCGAAAGAAUGGAUGAAUCGUUGCUGAGGAAUUGAGGCAACGAGAGAAAGAUUUCAUCGAAGGCGCUACCGAAAUCGGGGUUGUACAAGAUAAGAAGACAGUUCAUGGAUUCGAUAGAAACGUCUAAAAGGUGGUAGAGCUUGUGGACAGUGGUGGCUAAUUUUGAUUUUGUGCCGGUGAAGAGUCGGCAAACGAUGGUUUUGCGUCUACACUUGCAAAAGAGGCCAGGGUUAAGGCCUCCUUAAGGAUCUUGGAGACCUCUCUGAUAACACAAUCAAUUGGGUUCAGAUUAAACAAAAUCGGAUCCAUGGAGAUGAAGCAGAGCAGGUUGUUUAACAUUUGCGAGAGCUGAACCACUCGCUUUUCCAUCUCCCCGCUGUAUGCCCUGAACGAUUUGGCCUGAUCAACCGCCUCGCCAACUUGCUUCGCUAGCACUAUCAGACCCUCCAAGAGCUGCUUGAUUAACAUCUUCUGAUCAGACUGCAUUGUAUUCGUAGCACAGUCACCGGUUAACCCAAGGAUUGAAUCACAAAAUUGAAGUGCUUUAUUUCUUCUCCACUUUUGCUGCGUUAUGGUCGUCGAAGGCUGAAUUUCAGCUUUAUAGCAAAGAAUAUAUGAAGGUUUCGAUUUAACUGGAAGAGGGAGAGGGCUAGAGAAGCAGGGCAUUGGGUACUUUCUCUUACUCUUUUUUAUCUAAAAAACCAAAGGCGGCCCAAACUUCUCUAGAUAUUGUUAUGUUUACUUAUUGCAUACUAAAGAUGAAGUAAUGGAGAAAUUUAGAAUUUAUAAAAGAGAAGUUGAAUUGUGUUGUGAAUUGUAUAUUAAAUGUUUACGAAGUGAUAGAGAAUGUGAAUAUUAUGAUCCUAAGUAUUUUGAAUCCACUGAAAUUAUUCAUGAGACUAUCACUCCAUACACACCAGAAUAAAAUGGUAUAGCGGAACAUAAGAAUCGAGUUCUUACGGAAAUGAUCAAUGCUUUGCUUUCUAAUCCACGCUUGGAAAAAGGAUUUUGGGGCGAAACCUUAUUAACGAUUUGCCAUAUACUAAAUAGAAUCCAAAACAAAAAGAGCAAAACUACUCCUUAUGAACUAUGGAAAGAAAGAAAGCCAAACCUUAAUUAUUUAAGAGUUUGGGGAUGUCGAGUCAUAGUAAGAGUUCUAGAGCCAAAGAAAAGGAAAUUGGGUGAAAAAUGAAUUGAAUGUAUAUUUAUAGGUUAUGCUGAACAUAGUAAGCAUAUCGUUUCAUAGUGAUAAAGCCUAAUGAUUCACAUUUCGUUAAUACGAUCAUAAAAUCAAAGGACGUUAUUUUUGAUGAAACAAGAUUCAAUUCAAUUCCUAGACCCAAAGACUUAGUAACAAAAGGUGAUAAACCUUCAGAAAAUGACGAGAAAACUAUUGAGCUUCGAAGAAGUAAAAGAAUUAAGAAAGAAAAGACAUAUGGAUCCGAUUUUCUCAUGUACUUAGUAGAAGUUACAAGAGAAGAAACAUGUGAAUACUUACCUUACUGCUUUAAUGUAGAAGGUGAAAGUGAUCCUCAAACUUAUGAGGAGGCAAUGAAGUCUCAAGAUGCUUCAUUUUGGAGAGAAGCAAUACAAGAUGAGAUGGACUCAUUAAGGGGAAACAAAACGUGAAAAUUGGUAGACCUUCCACUAGGUUCCAUGUCAAACCCUGCUUUGUAAAAUAAUUAUAAUGUCAUUCACAUGCUCGAUAGAAUGUUUGUAUAUUUAGAAAGUUCGAGAAAUCGUUAAAAAACGAUAUUGCCCCUAAUGGUACCAUUGAGUCGAUUAAGCCUCGAACUAAUUCAAAUAGGAAUUUUAAGGUGAAAUUAAGAGUUUCACAGUUCAGAGAUGACUCAAAAUGGUAAUUCGGAGUUCGAGGAUCAAUUCGGAGUCAAACCGAAAUUUUCACUAUCUAGGGGCAAAAGCGUAAUUUUUCCACCGACAGACAAAAUUUGAGAUUUUGAGAGAAUUUAGAUCACAUUUGAUAAAUUGGAGAAUGGUAUGAGUAUAAGGGAUGAAAAAUAUAUCUAUGGGCAAUUUUUCAGUUUUUGGGGUAAAAAUGUAAUUUUUCACUUUACGGGGUAAAAGUGUAAUUUUUAAAAAUUUACUCCACCAAAACUUUGGAAAAGUCUAGAAAUUUCAUGGAAGACAUGGAUAAGUGAAGAGGAUUGAGUGGUAGAAAAAGAAAGUAAAAAAGAUGGCUAGAAAAAAAAUAAANNNNNNNNNNNNNNNNNNNNNNNNNNNNNNNNNNNNNNNNNNNNNNNNNNNNNNNNNNNNNNNNNNNNNNNNNNNNNNNNNNNNNNNNNNNNNNNNNNNNNNNNNNNNNNNNNNNNNNNNNNNNNNNNNNNNNNNNNNNNNNNNNNNNNNNNNNNNNNNNNNNNNNNNNNNNNNNNNNNNNNNNNNNNNNNNNNNNNNNNNNNNNNNNNNNNNNNNNNNNNNNNNNNNNNNNNNNNNNNNNNNNNNNNNNNNNNNNNNNNNNNNNNNNNNNNNNNNNNNNNNNNNNNNNNNNNNNNNNNNNNNNNNNNNNNNNNNNNNNNNNNNNNNNNNNNNNNNNNNNNNNNNNNNNNNNNNNNNNNNNNNNNNNNNNNNNNNNNNNNNNNNNNNNNNNNNNNNNNNNNNNNNNNNNNNNNNNNNNNNNNNNNNNNNNNNNNNNNNNNNNNNNNNNNNNNNNNNNNNNNNNNNNNNNNNNNNNNNNNNNNNNNNNNNNNNNNNNNNNNNNNNNNNNNNNNNNNNNNNNNNNNNNNNNNNNNNNNNNNNNNNNNNNNNNNNNNNNNNNNNNNNNNNNNNNNNNNNNNNNNNNNNNNNNNNNNNNNNNNNNNNNNNNNNNNNNNNNNNNNNNNNNNNNNNNNNNNNNNNNNNNNNNNNNNNNNNNNNNNNNNNNNNNNNNNNNNNNNNNNNNNNNNNNNNNNNNNNNNNNNNNNNNNNNNNNNNNNNNNNNNNNNNNNNNNNNNNNNNNNNNNNNNNNNNNNNNNNNNNNNNNNNNNNNNNNNNNNNNNNNNNNNNNNNNNNNNNNNNNNNNNNNNNNNNNNNNNNNNNNNNNNNNNNNNNNNNNNNNNNNNNNNNNNNNNNNNNNNNNNNNNNNNNNNNNNNNNNNNNNNNNNNNNNNNNNNNNNNNNNNNNNNNNNNNNNNNNNNNNNNNNNNNNNNNNNNNNNNNNNNNNNNNNNNNNNNNNNNNNNNNNNNNNNNNNNNNNNNNNNNNNNNNNNNNNNNNNNNNNNNNNNNNNNNNNNNNNNNNNNNNNNNNNNNNNNNNNNNNNNNNNNNNNNNNNNNNNNNNNNNNNNNNNNNNNNNNNNNNNNNNNNNNNNNNNNNNNNNNNNNNNNNNNNNNNNNNNNNNNNNNNNNNNNNNNNNNNNNNNNNNNNNNNNNNNNNNNNNNNNNNNNNNNNNNNNNNNNNNNNNNNNNNNNNNNNNNNNNNNNNNNNNNNNNNNNNNNNNNNNNNNNNNNNNNNNNNNNNNNNNNNNNNNNNNNNNNNNNNNNNNNNNNNNNNNNNNNNNNNNNNNNNNNNNNNNNNNNNNNNNNNNNNNNNNNNNNNNNNNNNNNNNNNNNNNNNNNNNNNNNNNNNNNNNNNNNNNNNNNNNNNNNNNNNNNNNNNNNNNNNNNNNNNNNNNNNNNNNNNNNNNNNNNNNNNNNNNNNNNNNNNNNNNNNNNNNNNNNNNNNNNNNNNNNNNNNNNNNNNNNNNNNNNNNNNNNNNNNNNNNNNNNNNNNNNNNNNNNNNNNNNNNNNNNNNNNNNNNNNNNNNNNNNNNNNNNNNNNNNNNNNNNNNNNNNNNNNNNNNNNNNNNNNNNNNNNNNNNNNNNNNNNNNNNNNNNNNNNNNNNNNNNNNNNNNNNNNNNNNNNNNNNNNNNNNNNNNNNNNNNNNNNNNNNNNNNNNNNNNNNNNNNNNNNNNNNNNNNNNNNNNNNNNNNNNNNNNNNNNNNNNNUUUUGAUGUUUCAAAAAAAUAUAUAUAUAUAUUGUUUUACAUUAAAAUAGAUUAUUUUAAUUAAUAUUUUUAUUUUAUUUUAUUAUUUAAAAAAAAGAGAGAGAGGAAUGGAAAAACUGGUACAAAAGCCUUGCGAGGUCUCGAAAGACAUUUAGGGGAAGAAUGUCUGUCGAGGCUUCGCUGCGGUUGUCAUGGGCUCGAUGGGAGUUCCGGGUCGUGACAUUCCAAGCCAAUAGGGUGUAAGUGGAUUUUCAAAAAGAAAAUGAAAGUUGAUGGAGCCGUAGAAAAGUUUAAAGCAAGGCUAGUGGCAAAAGACUUUAAACAAAAAGUAAGUGUUGAUUAUUUUGAUGCAUAUGCACCGAUAGCAAGAAUAGCUAUAAUUAGAGUGCUUAUAGCACUUGCAUCUGUAUAUAAGAUGGUAAUUCACCAGAUGGAUGUUAAAACAGCAUUCCUAAAUGGUGAGUUAGAUGAAGAAGUGUAUAUGGAACAACCUAAAGGGUUUGUCUUUCCUGGUCAAGAAAGGAAAGUAUGCAAGCUUGUAAAGUCCUUGUAUGGAUUAAAACAAGCGCCCAAACAAUGGCAUCAAAAGUUUGAUGAGGUUGUGCUAGCUAAUGACUACAAGAUAAAUCAAUCUGACAAAUGUGUUUAUAGUAAGUUCCAUAACGAUAGAGGUGUCAUCAUUUGUUUACAUGUAGAUGACACGUUAAUCUUUGGUACCAAUUGGAACAAGUGGAAGACACAAAAAGGUUCUUGUCAAAGAAUUUUGACAUGAAAGAUAUGAGUAUGGUAGAUGUUAUUCUUGAUAUAAGAAUAAUGAGAGACAAUAAUGGCAUAACAUUGUCUCAAUCUCAUUACAUCAAAAAGAUUGUAAUGAAGUAUGGAAAGUCAGAUUGUAUGCCAAUGACUACGCCUUAUGAUUCUAAUAUAAGGCUAGUACCCAACAAAGAUAAGCCAAUAGCACAACAUGAAUAUGCAAAGGUGAUUGGAUGCCUAAUGUAUGCAAUGGUAUGUAUAAGGCCGGAUAUUGCUUUUAUGGUUGGAAUGCUAGGUCGAUUUACAAGUAAUCCAAGCAAACAACAUUGGUAUGCUAUUCAUAGAGUUCUAAGGUACUUAAAGAGUACAAAGAAUUAUGGCAUCUAUUAUUCAGGUUUUCCUUCAAUUUUAGAAGGGUAUGCAGAUGCUAGUUGGAACUCAAAUAGAAUGAAUCAUACAUCUAUGACUAGUUGAAUUUUUAUAAUUAGUGGGGGUGUUGUUUCUUGGGGUUCUAAGAAACAAUCUUGUCAAGCGGACUCCACCAUGGUGGCUAAAUUUAUAGCCUUAGCAUCUGCGACCUAAGAAGUAGAAUGGUUGAGAAAUUUACUCUAUGAAAUUCCGUUAUGGCCUAAACCAAUGGCACCAAUCUUGAUAUAUUGUGACAAUGAAGCAACUGUAUCAAAGGCAUAUAAUCAAGCUUACAAUGGAAAGAGUCGAUAUAUUGGACUUCGACAUAGCAUUGUAAGGCAAAGAAUUAGUGAUGGUAUAAUCACUAUAAGUUAUGUGAGGUCUAGUGAAAAUUUAGCGGAUCCGUUUACUAAGGUCUAAAAAAAGACCUGGUUAUAAAGACCUCAAGAGAGAUGGGUCUCAAGCCUAUCAACUAAAUCGCCAAUGGUAGGAGCUCACCUCGACGCUUGUGGCCAACCUGCAAGUCUCGAGUACUGACCAUUCUACCACAUGGUGAUUGCAAGCACUAAAUUAUAUUUUCCAUCCCAAGGUGUAUAAUGCUUGGUUCCCCGUAAUGUGUAAAAUAAAGUUGAACGAAAGUUCUUAAUAGACCCAUAACAUAUAUAUGUUGAAGUACUAUAAUUAUGGGGUACUUCCGAUGGGGGCUACCUAUAUGAGUGGAAGUGUGGCCGCUUCUAGGAGUUAAAGGCUUGACUCUGACAGCACUCAUGAAUGGAUACAAAACAUAAGGCCAUAAAACGUGUUAGCAAAACUAGAUACAAAGUGAGCAAGGAAGCUUGUGUGUGUUUAGUGGCUCGACUAGUCAAUGAAAAAUCGAUGGUUCAAUGCUUGGUCAACCACUUAAUUCAAACUAGAACCAAUCACACUCACUAAGUGAAGGUUUAAAUUUACGGGAUACCUUCAUUUAUGUACAAGUUUCUCAAAUUUGUUGGUAUUUGGAAAUUUUGAAAAUGGUGGGAGAUUGUUGGUGUUUUUUCAAAAUUAAAGAUUAUGUCAUAUGAUGAAAAGCUAUCAUUAACUCAAAAGUUAUGUCACGAAAAGUGACAUAAUGUGUCUAUUGAAAUAUAAAUAAGUUUUCAUAUGAAUAAUUAUGUUUCUUGAAAAAAUGACAAUGAAAAGUUAUGAGACAUAUUGAAAAGACACCAUGGCUCAAAAGUUAAAUAUGAAAAGUUAUUGUUUCAAGUUAUAACUCAAUGGUUAUAAUGAAUAGUUAUCUUUUCAUAAGAUAAUUAUUAAAAUAAUACAUUUAUCCAAAGGUUGUGUCCAAUAAAAAUGUAGAGAUAUUUUUUAUACAAAAGGUAUCUUUAUGAAAAAGUUGUAUCCUUGAAAAAGAGACACUUAGCAAUGGUUUGCAAUCACCCUGGAAGGUUUCUUCUGGCUUUUGUGCAAAUCCUGUUAGCUCUUCCCACAGUAUCUCCGAGCCUUGUCGCAGAUAAUUGAUUGCUUCUUUGCUCUGUUCUACGAUAAUCUGUGUAAUGCUACCUUUUACUGAACUGUCUAAUUUUUCAUGCUUACCGGUUUGAUUUGAUUUGAGUUUGAAUAUUGCGUCGGAGACCAAUCCUUUUAGCUUGGGAUGCUUGGCACCUAUCGUCUCGAGAGCAGUCAAUGCACCGGCUUCUAUCAAAACAUUGCUGUUGAUGUCAUGGUUCGCGAGGUAGCAGAUCAGAGCCAAUCCAUGAUGCUGUGACUCUUCAUCGCCAUCAAGUAACUUCAUUAAAAGUGGGACACCGUCGAAUUUAACUAUCGAUUGUGAAUGCUCCUUGCUAAGGCGAUUUUCUGGACAUGCAAAAUUUUGCAGAGCAAUAGCAGCUUCCAUUGCUAUUUCUUGGUCCGUACUGCCAAGCCGGAAAACUAGAGGACUGAUUACCCGAUUGUCUUUUGCUGAAAACGUUCUAGCCAAUGAACCCAUCGAUUUGAUAACCGGAAUUCUCAAUUUUUUGUCAUCAAAUUCUUUAAUCACUCUCAAUAGCUGAUCAACAACAGUCAUUGCAGCUAGAGAAUUAGUCUUAAAAGCCGAAUGUCUGAAUUCUUGAUUUGAUUCAGCAAUAGAUGUAAUUUCUCUUAUGAUCAUCAAGCAAUUGUACUGUAAUUCAUCUUGUUCCGUUUCAACCAACUUAGCCAAGCAAAGCAUUCCCUUUGUCUCCGUUAAUGUCCUACAAUUCGAAACGCUCCCCUCAACAAGCACCCAUAAAGCCUUCGAACAACUGAUUUUCAAUUCAGGAUUAAGUAAAUUGAUUUUAGGACCAUCUGCAGAUGGCUCAGAUGACAACAACGUUACCAGCCGCCAUAUUACAUUCUCUCUAACCAAAUCGUAUUCCUUCACCUCAGGGUUAUACUCUGCUAUUUUGGCAACCAAAUUCGCCGCCUGAAUUUGAUCCCUCGUCGGCGAUGUUCUUGAUAAACGAUAUACAACUGUAGAUAUCAUUUCCUUCAUAAUAAUUCUCGUCCUCUCCUGCUCAUUAGCUAAAAGACAAAGUGCAUUAGCAGCCGUGAUCUGAGCUUUCAGAGAGGAGUUCUCUUUCAAAAGCUUUAUUAAAGGAGGUACCCCGCCUUCUUCAAAAAUAAUGUUUUUGUACUCGUCUUUUUCUUGAGCAAGUAAACCAAGACAUAUCGCAGCCUGGACGCGAUCUUCUAAUUGACGCCCCAUUUUGACGGUGGCGAUGCAAGACCAGACCAACAAUCUAGCCGACUCAUUCUUGGUCGUUGGGCCUGUGACUCCGUUUUGGGGGUCAUAGACAGUAACCAGCCAUUCCAUAUCGCUGAUAGAAGCAUCCAAAAGGUGGGAGAGCCCGCGAAAACUGGUGGCAUUACGGAUGGUGAAGAGACUGCUGAGUAGGCUCCGGCACUUGCACUUGGAUACAGUGGCCAGUGCGAGCUCAAAGUUAUCCUUCACCUUGGCAACUAUACAGUUGAUUGGGCGCAGGUAAAUGGAAGUUGGAGCAGAGGUGAUGAAGCGGAUCAAUGUCUUCAGCAUUUGGGAGAUUUGCUUCACUCGCUCCCUUACCGCACAGCAUUCCUCCUGGAACGACUUGGCCUCUUCAACCUCUAAGCAAAGUCGUUCCUCCAAGAAUAUCAAAUCAAAGAGUUCCUCCACCUGCUUUUUUGCCUCCCAGGGAAGCAUCAUUUUUAGCCACAGUUCAGUUCAAUUGCGAAGCACUCUUGCACACCUGUGUUAUCAGAUUGUUUGAACUUGCAAUUUUACUGAUUUAAUCCCUACUUUUAUAUCUGCGCAUAAAGAACAAAAAAGGAAGGGAAAAAAAAAAUAUUAGCUGAUUUUGGCCGUUAAUUGACAUUUAUAGAGCUAAAAAAGAACGAGUAGGUAUGAAUUUCAUCACCACUGAUGCCAUCUUGGAAGUAAUAAAAACUUUAACGCUAAGAAAAGUGUGGGGCUGACUCCUCACAUAUAGAAGCAUCCAAAAGGUGGAUGAGCUUGCGAAAUUGGGUCAUAGACAGUAAACAGUAAUUCCUUAUCGCUGAUGGGUUCUGGCGCUUGCAGUUGGAUACAAUAACUAGGGCGAGCUCAAAGUUAUCCUUCACCUUGGCAACUAUGCAGUUGAUUGGGCGCAGGAAAAUGGAAGUUUGAGCAGAGGUGAUGACGCAGAUCAAUGUCUUCAGCAUUUGGGAGAUUUGCUUCACUUGCUUCCUUACCUCAAAGCAUUCCUCCUGGAACGACUUGGCCUCUUCAACCGCUAAGCAAAUUCCUUUCUAAAUGAACUUCAGCAGAGGUGAUGACGGCAUGAUCGGAAAUUGCCUGCGUCUCUUCCUGCCUUUUGUUCCUUCCUCACAAAAGAGCUUUUGUCUCCAAUUGCACCUUCCAAUUCUUUUCCAGAGGGAGGAUGUCGGUGUCAACUCACCCCAUUUGGACUUUCGGAGUAAUAGCAGGAAUGCCCUUUUUUGCCUUGCAAAUUCAUAUGAUUUCACAGAAUGGAAAACACUAGUUUUUGUGAAUUUUAAAUUUUUUUUCAUGAGAUUCUUUUCCUUUUACCAUGUAUUUAACAAAAAAAUAAAAAUACAAAUAAAAUGUUCGGAUCAAAUAUAAAAACAAUAAAACAAUAAACUAUUGAAAAUUUUCCAAAAAGUAAAUGAUAAAAAAAUAACAUAUCACCAAUUCAAUAUCAUUAAAAAUUAAAACUCAGCCAAUCCUUUUUUUAUUUUUUUUUUUUUUGCUAGUCAUUUUUACUGGAAUUUCUUUAUCCAGAUGUGAUGUUUUUUUUUUUAAUUUUUCAUUUGGUUUUUAAUACUAUUUGAUUCUACUUUCCCAUUAUUUUAAAGUUUCAUUUUUCUUUCACAGAUUUUUUUGUUAAUUUAUUUAUUUUGAACUCUCUCAGUUACUAUUUAUUCAAUUGUAUGUUAUAGAAAAACUGAUGAGUACUAAUUGUUUGAUGAAAACUUUGUUAGAAAUAUUUCUUAAACUAUGUUAGGUUGAAAUUGUAAAAGAAUAAAUUUUUUUCAUGAGAUUUUUAUUGCAGUUAUAGUAAUUUUUGCUAUAAAGAUUAAAUAUAUUAUGAAAUAGUAAGUACAUGUUUUUCAAUUAUUAUUUUAAACAAAUUUUAAUUAAUUUUUUCCAUAUUAAUUAUGAAAUAGUUACACCAUUUUGUUAUGUUUGUCGUUCAAUUUUUUUUUAUUAAUUACAAUAUUUGCAAGGAAAAAAAUUAAACCCGAUUCUUUGAAUUAGAGAAAACAUGGACCAAUCAUUGGGUGAAUGAGAGAAGCAAAGGUUGUAAAUGAUUUCAUUACAAUUUUGUCCCAUUUAAUAUCUUAAAUUUAGUUGUUUUCAUUUUUACUAAGAUCAAAUUUUCAUGUUCUCACUUUUCCCAUCCAUCUCUUGAUUUUUUUUUCAGCUUACUAAGCCUUAAACCAAGUACUUGAACUAUACAUGGUAGAUGAUUUUUUUUUUCUCUUUUGUCAUAAAUUUCACAAGUUUUAAGAUUUGAGAUGAAAUAUUAAAUUAAAAAUCUCAAAUUUAAUUAUAAAUAUCUCUUAUUGUACUACGGGCAAUACUUUUGUAGGUUAACACUGUUAUAUUUUUAAAUAACUUAAUACAAUGUAAUCAGUAUUUUAUUUUUUACUCUAACCAUUCAAAUAUUUAUUAUACUAAUAAAAAUAAAUCUUAAUUUUUUUUAUCAGAAAUUGUUUUUGAUGGAGAACCCGAAGUGGAGUUGGUCCUACAAAGGUAAUAAUCGCGAGAAGCGGAGCCAGCUCAUACUUUACAAUUAUUGUACUUCACUGGCAGCUUUAACAAAAGGAGCUGCUACGGGUAAAUGGGUUGUAAACAAGCACUCCUUUUACUUUUUAAUUAUUUUAUUUAAAUUUUCAGGUAAAUCUUUUUAAAUUAUUACAUUGGUUUCAUGUCUUCAUGUGUGCAAGGGAGGAUUUUUUUUCUUAGUCAAAAUAAUACAAUUUUAUUAAUAUUACUGUUAUUUCAAUAUAAUUGAGAUAAAUAAAUAAUUAGAAAAAACAUAAACAGAGUAUAAAAUCAAAGACUCGUUCAAGAUACAAAAAAAUAAAAUCAAAUUAGCACCUGUUAUUCCACACUUCCACCGAGUGUAGGUAUAUAUUUGAUCUGUCAACAUCAAAUUUAGUUCAAGAAUCUGUAAAAGAAUUAGUUUCUCUAAAAGGAUAUUAUGGGAGGAAAGGUAGGAGCAAUCUAUUUUAUCAUUUCUUAGUUCUUUAAGUUAUGUUUGCAAGACAUGUCAAGAUUUUGAAAAGCUAUAUCACACGUUUGAAACAAUUUUUAUUUCCUACUGAUAAAUGCAUCUUUCUUUUGGGUAUUGAUAAAUGCAUGUAAUAUGCUAUAAAUUAAAUCCAAUAUUUUGAAGGGCAUGGUUUCAUUUGCUAUGAUUGAAAUAUGGGAAGUUUAUUAGGUAUUGAGUGUGUUACGGAAAUUCUGAAAUUAUCUCUUAAGAGGACAGAACUGGAUAAACUAUAAAUCUAAAAUGGAAAGUAUAAGAUAGAAGGACAGAGCUGGAUAAAGGCAAGGCAAUGCAUGUAUAGUUCAGUUUUCGUAUUGAGUCCCCCAUUUCCUCAAUUCUCUUUUCUGGAUGAUUUUCAUCCAUAACAGAACAGAAAGCAGACAGUCCUCAAGAAAGCUGCAAAAGCAAGACCGUCACCUUAGUUAAUGACCAACAAGAGAUCUUGUGAUCGUUGAACUCCCCAUUUGGCAAGGUCGUUUGCCAUCUCGUUUGCUGAGCUUACAAUGUGGGCAAUUUUCCAUCUUUCCAGCUCUGAAGUUUAAGGCUUGAAGAAUAAAAUUCCUCAUCGUCCGUGGAAUUGCCUGUGCAUGUAAAAUUCAGUUAACCGCAUUUGGAUUAACGAGCAGUUCUGUAAGAUUCGAGUCCAUAGUGCCAAUUGACUUAAAGAACAAUCAACAAAACAAUAUCAGCCUUCGAUGGUGGCAGCACCAGGCUUGCCCCUCAAUGAUCCGUCAACCUUAAAUUUGGAAAUUUACUCUGAAACAAAAGAAAAUUUUUUGUCACUUCAUUUUUACUAUUCACUUUUUAUUUUUUUCCCAAAAUUUACCAUAAAUAAACAAAAUCAUAAAAUAAUUUAGUACAACUAAGACUUGAAACUAGUUGAGAAGCAAAGAAACCAAAAUGAUUUUACUAGGGGGUGGACUGAUCUGAUUACCAUUACCAUGUUCCUAAAAUUUCUCAUAUUCUUGGCUACUAUAUUGAACUGGUUGAGUAACUUGUCAAACUUUAAAUCUUGUUUUUAUUUUAUUUUUAUAUUUGAGCAUGAAGUUGAAUCUCAGUAGCAAGGUAUAAUGGUUUUCUUUCAACUAGGAAAGUACGUGGGAAACUUCAACCCAUCAACAAGUUGACCCAUGUUCAUUAGAAAUUUGCCUCCUUAUCCCAUGCAGAAAGGUUGUUUCCUGAUAUCGUUAGUCAUAAAAGUUUAAAUUCAUUAGGAAGCCAUGAGUCUUUCACCUGCUCAUUCCUUGUCGUUGAGGGCCAUGUCGGCCACAUUCUUUGUUGUAAGACAAUUUUUCAAGUCAUCACACCGCCUUGUUAAAUCCGUCUUGCAACCGCCUACCCGCUUAGGUGAAAAUUAUUGGAGCCUUGGAUAUGCACAAGUAUCCGGAGUCUAAUUUGGUUCACAUUUAUACAACAUUUAGGGUACGCGUUAUUUUUCUUUUUAGCACAAAAAGCAAGAAGUUGACCAGAUUUGUCAACAGUUAAGUAGUAUUACUCAGAUAUCGUCUGCUCCCAAUGGUUUGAUGUAAGCAGUAUUGUGAGCUCAGUUUUGUGUUUUUUUUUUUUUUUUCUCUGCCAAAAAGUGGGAUUUUAUAUAUAUGUAAAGCACUGAAAGAUACAGUGAUGGGUAUAGCUUAUAGCUACCCACAAAGUUAUCGCACCUGAUAACACGUAUUGGCACGUACAACAGUAUGCCAAAAUAUUGAUGAUUACAGCAGUAAAGCCAAAAUAUUGAUGAUUACAGCAGUAAAGCUCAUAUAUCCCACCUAAACCAAGCUAAACGAAAUAACAAGGGAACGUAUAAUCAACGGCGUUAAGCUACUGUAAAACACAACAGUGAAAGUCACCACGACGCUGAGAACAUAGAAUCGCUAUCCACACCGAGCUUAGCUCAGUUUUGUGUUGAUGAUGACUUUGUUUCAAACAUGCUGGUGUAGCAGCAGUAAUCAUCUGGGUUCACGUACUUGGUCCUUUGACCCUGCUUUGCUCAUUAAUAUGGGGAGAUACAGAAAGAGAGAAAUGGAUUAUAAAAUGCCAAGGGAAGUGGAUUAUGGUAGUAACAAAUGCUAUGAGAUCUCGAAACUGUCGGGGGAGGAGAUGAUCUUUCUGAUUACAGUGGAGAUUUGGCGUCAGGAUUCUUAUCAGGAAUGGGGAGUUUCUUUAAUUUAGUACCAAUUGAUAAGCAUACGUAUCAUACGAUUAUAUUGUUAAUAUUUACACAAGUGAAUACUAAUGCUGCCUACGUUUGAUGAACUACAUUCUCUUUAGUAUUUAUAAUACAAUGUCAGAUACGACAAGGCCUCGGGUACCAAUUCCUUCAACUCGGGAUGCUGUGAAACUACGUGCCUGUGCAGACUACCCUUUCUAGUUACUAAUUGUUUAAUGGCAGUCCUGACCCUGGCUUCUUCCAUAGCGGCGCUGUAAUCAGUAUUCACGGCAAGGUAGCAGAUAAGCACCAAUCCAUGCAGCUGCUGUGUCCUUUCACCAUCUCUCAGCAAUUUCAUCAAAGGCUUUACGGCGUUGAACUCGAUCAUUGUCUUUGAAUGCUCUUUGCAAAGAUAACUGCCUGGAUAGGCAAACUUUUUUAAAGCAACGAUAGCUUCCGUUGCCACUUCUUGGUGCACAUUGACAAGCUGCGACACCAAAACACUAAUCAUAUGAGGACUUUCUCUUUCUUUGAAAAUUCUCGCUAAGGAACCGAUCGAUUUGAUGGCAGGAAGUUGAGGGUGAUCCGCUGAUUCUUUAAUCACCCUUAAGAGCUGUUCAACGAUAGCCUUUGCACCAGGAGAAUUGGUCUUAAAUGUUUUGCAUCGAAGAUCGAGAUCAGAUUCGGCUGCGGCAGUGAUUUUCAUUAUAAUCAUCAAGCAAUUGUACUGGAAUUCACCAUCCUCCGCUUCCACCAACUUAGCCAAGCAAAACAUUAAUUCUUCUGUCUCGUCUAUCAUCCUACUACUAUUUAGAACACUUCCAACGUUUAGCAUCGAUAAAGCUUCCGCACAACAUAUUUUCAGCUCAGGUGGAGAAGUUUCACUCAGCAUUGGGGCUAGCUGCCAAAUCAAUUUUUCUGUAACCAUGCAAGACCAGGCCGAAAGCGUAGAUGAAUCGUUGCAGAGGAAUUGAGGCAACGAGAGAAAGAUUUCAUCAAAGGCGCUGCCGAAAUAGGGGCUGUACAAGAUAAGAAGACACUUCAUGGAUUCGAUAGAGACGUCUAAAAGGUGGUAGAGCUUGUGGAGAGUGGCGUCUAAUUUUGAUCUUGUGCCGGUGAAGAGUCGACAAACGAUGGUUUUGCGUCUACACUUGCAGGCCAGGGUUAAGGCCUCCUGAAGGAUCUUGGACACCUCUCUGAUAACACAAUCAAUUGGGUUCAAUUUAAACAAUAUCGGAUCCAUGGUGAUGAAGCAGACCAGGUUGUUUAGCAUUUGCGAGAGCUGAACCACUCGCUUUUCCAUCUCCCCGCGGUCUAUCCUGAACGAUUUGGCCUGAUCAACCGCCUCGCCAACUUGCUUCGCUAGUACUAUCAAGAGCUGCUCGAUUAGCAUCUUCUGAUCAGACUGCAUCAUAUUCGUAGCUCAGUCACUGGUUAACCCAAGGAUUGAAUCACU
rnacentral:lncRNA from 1 species